rnacentral:lncRNA from 1 species
CUUUUGUUACUAACUUGACAUCUCAUACACAACAAGUUUUACAUACUCAAUAACAUUUUUUAUUUAUAGAACAUAUAUCUAAUGUAUUUAUUUAAUUAUUCUUUCAAAUUAAAUAUUAGGGAUCUAUAUUGUUGCCACACUACAAUUCAAGGGCCAUAGUAAUAGUAACAGUUAACGAAGGAAAAGGAGAUUUUGAACUUGUGGGUCAAAGAAAUGAAAACCAACAAGAGCAGAGAAAAGAAGUUGACGAGGAAGAAGAACAAGGAGAAGAGGAGAUAAAUAAACAAGUGCAAAAUUACAAAGCUAAAUUGUCUUCAGGAGAUGUUUUUGUGAUUCCAGCAGGCCAUCCAGUUGCCGUAAAAGCUUCCUCAAAUCUUGAUUUGCUUGGGUUUGGUAUUAAUGCUGAGAACAAUCAGAGGAACUUUCUUGCAGGUAUAUUAAAUCUUGAUUUGCUUGGGUUUGGUAUUAAUGCUGAGAACAAUCAGAGGAACUUUCUUGCAGGUAUAUUAUAUUAUCACCCAGUCUCUGUCACUAUUUAUUCAUUUUAAGUGUGUAUUUUAAAAGUCAACUUCUAUUUAAAUCAAGGGGAAAAUAUUAAGAUAUGCUUAUUAUUUUGGUGAUUGAAAAUUUGAAGGCGAUGAGGAUAAUGUGAUUAGUCAGAUACAGCGACCAGUGAAAGAGCUUGCAUUCCCUGGAUCAGCUCAAGAGGUUGAUAGGAUACUAGAGAAUCAGAAACAAUCUCACUUUACAGAUGCUCAACCUCAACAAAGGGAGAGAGGAAGUCGUGAAACAAGAGAUCGUCUAUCUUCAGUUUGAAAUGCUUCUUAAUGAGUGGACAAAAUACUAUGUAUGUAUGCUAUCAAGAGAUAUAUCUCACAGGGAGCAAUGAAUAAAACAAUUUUAUCUUAUAACUAUAAUUAUAUCUCCACUUUUCUACUAUGAAUAAAUAAAUCAAGAGUAUUUUGGUGUUCCUCUUAGAUAUUAUAUUAUUUUAAGAAAUUCAAUAACUAAAAGUAUAAAACACUCAUUAAAUUUAAACUAAUGUAAAGACUCAAUAUCUCAUAUCCAUGAUUCAUGAUAUACAAUCAUCAAUCAAUUAAUAGAAUUCAAAAGAAUAAAUUUGGGGUUUCUCUUGUAAGUUAGCAACAUUUAUACUUGGGGUUGGGGUACUAGAGAAAUUGGUCAAAAUAAAGAAAAAUAAAAAUAAAAUCUAGGUGUUAAGAAUGACUUCUUCAAAAAAUUUGUUAAAAAGAAAAAGGAAUGCAAGCUAGUGGGAUACACUGACUCAUGUUGGUAUGGUGAUGCUGAUGAUAGAAAAUGUGUUUAUGCUAUGUGGUGCACCAGUUGCUUAGAGCUCAUGAAAAGAACCAGUUGUAGCUCUGUCAUCAUGUGAUACUGAUUACAUAGUUGCCUUUCUUUGUGCAUGUCAAGCAACAUGAAUGGUAAAUUUGAUCGAAGAGAUUAUAGGUCAAAAUCAUGAAGCAGUAAUCAUGAAGAUUGAUAACAUUUCUGCUAUAAAUUUGUCCAAGAACCCAAUAUGAUACGGAAGAAGAAAACACAAUGAGAUGAGGUUCCAUUAUCUUAGAGAGAAAGUAUCAAAUAUGAAAUUUGGUUUCUCAUAGGACAGAUGUUGGACACGGUGUUGGGACAAUUGAUCCAACUUGUUAAAACCAUUAAGACAGUAAUAUAAUAGAAACAGUAACACGAAUUGAGAAUUUCAAAAACAGAGAUCCAAGUAUAUCCAACUUGUUAAAACCAUUAAGACAGUAAUAUAAUAGAAACAGUAACACGAAUUGAGAAUUUCAAAAACAGAGAUCCAAGUAUAAAAAAAUACGAAAAAAUCAUGUGAAACCUAAAUGGAAGAAAGCGUAUGAAUAACUAGGGAUGGAGCCAGGAAUUCUAAAUAGUGUGGCCAAAUUUAUAAAUUUAUUAUGAGAAAAGUAUAAUAUAUUAUUUAUAAAGAAAUAUUAUUUUUUUUUAAAAAUUUUUUUAAUGAUUUAAAAUUAUUAAUGGUUUCUUAAUUUUCUACUUAUAAUUAUAUAACAUAUUUUAUCCUCACCAAUCAAUUGAUAGUUCAUAGAUUAUUAAUUUUUCUUUAAUCUAAAAAUAUAGAAUUAAAAAGAUAAGAUAAUAAUAUCCAGACUAUUAAAGUUUUUUAUCAAAAAUAGUAGAGACUAUUUUGGACUAAAAUUUGAAAUGAACUAAGUAUUUAAUGCAAUAUACACCAUCAUUACUAUUACCACAUGAGUAGUAUAUUAUAAUGAAAUUUUUAUUUAUAGUGGGGCAUAGACCUACAUAGUUGUGUAUGUAGCUCCGUCUCUCUGAAUAACAUGUUUAUCUUUUAGAAAAAGAAGAAAAAAACAACGUUUAAAUACUUAGAUAAAGAAGAAACAACGUUUAAUUUGAUUACCUUUUAGGACAAAGAAGAAGAAAGACGAGUUGUAUGGAAGAAGAAGAGAGACGAUUUCGCAGGAUGUGGAAGAGAGAGAGAGAGAGAUAUUAGGGUUUUGUAAUUUGAGCGAGAGGACUGAAAUUUGAAAACUUUGCUUAUAUAUAUAUAAAACUUAUCACCGUCGUUGGCAAGAAAAACCGUGAUAAACUGUCAGUACUAUCCACAAUGGUUUCUGGUACUAACCAGGGUGAUAGAUAUUUUAAUUUUAAUAUAUUUAUAAGACCAUAUGGACAAACUCUUUUUGUAACGAUAAGAAAAUUGUUUGUGCUGGGAUUCGAAGCAUGUAACCUUUCAUCUAUAACCACGGUUGCUAUUAUGAACCAUGAAGAAAUGUCUUUUAAUAAAAUAUAAAAAAAAAAUUAGGUGCGUUAAGAUAAGUUAUUAUAACGGUUGCUUAAACGGCCUUGGUAAUAUGGUGGAAAGAAAGGUAUAUUUUGUAGUUGUGUAUUUUCCCACGGUGGAUGCUACUUGUUGUAAAAUUGAAAGGUUCAAUCACACCAUGAUUUUUUGUUGAAAAAAUCUAACAAUAAUAUUAAUAACGUGAUAAAUAUUGAUGUGUGGGACAAAGAACAAUGAAAAAUAAAAAUAAAUAUCCUCAAAAAAAAAAAUCACCUGCCAAACAAUGAAGGAAAAUCCACAAUAAACAAGAGAAAAUUAAAAUACUAGUAAAAAUAAUUCGUCCUAAUAAUUUUUUUUAAUGCAUUAGGCAUUUCAUUAUACUUAACAAAAAUUUAAAUAGCACAAUAAUAUUAAAUAUUGUUAAUAGAAUAUAAAAAAAGCCAAUAUCACAUGGAUCAUAUAUAAACCAUUCCACUUCUUCAUAACAGUGAAUUUUUUUUAACUAACAAUAGAUAAGUAGAAUGCCAAUAUAUUUCACUUUUUUUCUAAUCAACUUCACGGAAUCCAGGACAAUGAUAUUCAAAAUACUGAAAUAAGACUCAAAGGGAUUGGGCACCUAGAAGUAUUGGCCAUAUUCCUCUAAACUUUUCUUCUCUUUUCUGCAAAAUGAUUUUGUCCACAAUUAAAACAUAAAUAUCACACAUGCCAUGUAUUGAGACGCAUGCAGGAUUAACACCAAACAACUACUCAAAAGGAUGCUAAAGUCUACAAAAACUACACUUAAUUUCUCAAAUGGUGAUGUAACCUAAUAACACUUUGCAAGCUAUAAUAUAAAGAAUGUGACCUGCACAUAUAACUCAUACUUGCUAAUAAAAUAGGGUAAAUAAAAAAGGCAUAAUAAUGCAUAAUGAAAUUGAAAGAGAAUUGUUACUUCAAUAAACAGAAAAUGCUAAAUGGUGUUUCUUACUGCAAAAACUCAAUUCGUCAACUAUUAUUCCUUGAGCGACCAAACAUAACUGUAAGACCCUAAUUUUGACCCUAAGAUCCCUCAUGGCAUCAUAUCAUUGCACAUUGCAUUUUCCUCAAGGAUCAUAGCAUCUUGGCUCCUUAACCCUAGGGUUGGGACUUAUGUGAGUUGGUUAGAGACCACCAAGCAUGCUUGCAUUGUAUAUUAUUGCUUUUCUCAUUUUGUUUACUAACCAAAAGGUGUUUUUAUACAAUGAUUGAAACAAUCAAAACAUCGAACUCGUUAGUACUGAUUCAAGGCUCCUAGGAGGCCCCUAUGCUCAAAGAAUGGCCAGAUGAAGUUGAAAGCAAGCAUGAAAAUGGUUCAAAAAGCUCUCAAUCAUCAUACAUGCCUCCCAAGUAUCUCAAUUUGUCAAUUUGAUCAAGAUAAACCAAAUAGCUUGAGGAUUGUUUCCCAAGGAAACCCUAAUUCAACUGUGCAUUGACUGUGCCUUGCUCAUGAAGCAACCUCAACCCAUGAUCAAAUACAAUAAAGGUAAGCUCUUUCAUUCAUCAUUUUAUGCAUAUAUGAACUCAUGUGAGUGUCUUCAAUCAUCCAUUCAUCAAGAUUUGAAGUUUGGACUUGAGAAGUUGAUCGGUCAAUUCAUCGACUAUUUUGAAAUCCACUAAGACCUAACUUUUGAUGUGUUUGUCAAAUGAAGAUGACCCCAAGAUAAAAUAUGUUUUUAAGGACCAUAUGAACAACUUUAAUGUUCAUCAAAAAUUGAUUUGAAACUUGGAAGGUCAUCAUUCAUUUCAAAACAUUAUAGGUCAUUUUGACUGAAAUCCUAAUUUUGGGUCAACUUCCCAAGGACCUAACUCACUCAUUUUUAAUGCUUUUUAGGUGGGAUCAAAUGCAUUAGAAACUUUAAGAUGUCUAAUUCAAUUGUUAUGUUGGACAAAUUUUCAUAAUCCUAAAAUAAACACAUGUGAUAAUGCAAAACAUUAUAGGUCACUUUGGACCAAAGUCAUUGAAAUGUAAAAAAGUCCAACAUUAAGUGCCCAUAACUUUCUCAUAAAAAAUCCAAAUGAUGCAAACUUUAAGUCCAAAUUGAUUGUCUUGAAAAUAUAUACAACUUUAAUGUUUAAGGUUUUGUCAUUUGAGGCUUGCAUCAUUGAAACAUAAGGGCUUGAAGUUGGUCCAUUUUGGCAAAAUUCACAUACACAUGUUUUGCACCUUGAACUUCAUGAUCAGUUUUCAUAAAUUUCCCAACUCCAAAUUGAUUUUUGUUCAAAUAACAUUUGUUCCUCAUGUCAAUACCUUUCCAACCAUUACCCACAUGGCUAUGUUUCAAUUUGGCAAAGUGCAUUUUCGAAGAGGAGAAGAUUUAUGUUCAUUUAUGGAAACAAUGUUAAUACUUAGUGCGCACUCCAUUGCAAUGCCAUGUACACAUCCAAAACACUCCAAUUACACUUCAACUUGCAUUUGCCAUCAAGUUUGGGCCUCCCAUGCGCCUGUACAGGCCCAUGCAUGGAGGCCCUUAUUCCACAUGCACACGAGUUUGCCAUUGCUUGCAUCAGCUUUCACUAUAAAUACAGAUGCUUGGCUUCAUUCAAUUCCAACCUUAAGUUGCUUGCAUCAGCUUUCACUAUAAAUACAGAUGCUUGGCUUCAUUCAAUUCCAACCUUAAGGCGCCUAACACUCUGUAGAAUUGAAAUCCUACCCUUCACUCAAAGGAAUUUUGAAUUUUCUUCUUCAAUUUUUCAGUUCAAUUUUCAACUUCCUUGGUUGAUCAUUGAGCUUCAAUUCUUAAGCCUAGCUACUUUGCCAUCUCAAGAUCACAUUGCAUCAAAGAAUUGGAAGAGAUCGUGCCUUGUAAAGUUGCACUUCAAAGGUUGUUGUUCAAACUUUUUUGAUUCGAAACUCCCUGGAUAUUGCUCAUUUCUUGUGUUUGUUGGUUCCUCUGAAGUCCUCAUAUGAGAGGCAAUUGAUCUGUGCAUUCAAUUUCAUGAAUUGAUCAAGUUCGGUUUGAACACCAUGAAUUUCUAUCUCAGAUUUCUCCUUCUAUGAGAGUCUAGAGUAGAAACCAAUGGCACAAGGGUGAUGUACAUCACCCCAGCUUUCCAAUGAUUUGAGGAUCGUGCGUUUUGGUGAGGUUUUUAAAACCUGCAACUCUUGCCGGAGCUGGCUUGCUCGCCGGAGAAGACGGUGGUGUACACCACCGUCCCCCAUGCCAGAUUGCAUAUAGACCAUUGAAUGUUGUUUCUAGAUUGAAUCACAACCAUGCAAUGUUUCCAGAAGACGGUGAGGUUUUUGUGCAAACAUUAACAUUGUUUUCAAAAUUAGAAACCUAAGCACUAUGCUUUUGAUUUUUCAAACUCUUUUCAUAACACUUAUUUUGAAUUGAAUCCUUAAGUCAACUUUGACCUUACUUUGUGAAUACUUUUCAUUUGUAAAUACAACUCACUUAAUUGUUUUGUGCCUUCAAUGGCCACUUUUGCCAAAGCUUUUCAUAAACAUUAGCUAUUAGGUUUGAGUUAUCCUAGAGGUUGAUAUAAUACUCACCUAUAUCCUUAGUGAUGGAUUAUAAGUCUUCCAUGCUUAUUAUAGGGUUAACCCCUCACUAGCAUGUUGAAGCUCUCCUCACAUGGUGGAUUUGUGGUUUUAGGUUGAGUUUUCUCCCUUUGAUAACAAAAGACCUUAAGGCUUUUGACCAAUCAAUUCACCAACUUAUUUUGAGAUUUUUACCCCGAACUACGAGGUUUUGAUCCUACCUUUGUGAUGGUACGUAGGCAAUGGGUUUAUCCAUUCAAACAACAAAAUUGUAAAUAAUUUGUAUAUUCUUUUCUCAUCUCCCCAAUCAUGUUUGCACAAAUAUUUUCACAAAUACCAACCUACCUUACAACAUUUGUAAAAAGGGCUCCCUUAGAGUACUAAGGAUGUUUUGGGUGCUUAAAACCUUCCCAUUGCAUAACCAACCCCCUUACCCAGAUCUCUGACAUUUUUAUUAGUUUUUGAUUUGAUAAAACUUCUCGGUUUUUGUUCGCUUUCUAACCUUUCCUUUGGAUAAAUAGAAGUGCGGUGGCGACUCGAAUUGUAUGAUUUACUUUUGAUUUAGUCAAUAAAUAUAAAGGUAACGAAUACCCCGCUACAGAAAAGUGGCGACUCUGCUGGGGAUUUUUGCCUAGUGGGUUUUGCCUACUUUUCACUUUUGUUGUAUUGUAUUGUAUAUUACUUGUGACAUAUUUUUGUGCAAAUUUGGGAUUACUGUAUUGUAUGUAAUGUAUGAAUUGCUUAAAUAUUAAUUGCUUGUGUGCUUGGUGAUCUCUUGUGAGAUGAGUUCUAUACCCGAACUCGAGUGCACUUAUGAUAGGAGAAUGGCAUAGUCUUGUUGGCUUGUGUGGAGUUAUUCCUUACAAAGUUGACUUGCAAGCCCAUUCACUUGGUGGAGGUUAUGUUGGGAUCAAUAAUGUCACACGAGUAGUCGUGGUUAGACAUUACCCUUUCCAAUAUAUGCCUUAGAAGCCAAGGACCUUAGUUUACCAAACCCAUCUUGGCCUAUUUUUAGGAUGUAGUGCGAAGGUCGUUCAAGUGUAAGAUUUGAUAUGAUUGUUACGCAAUACUACACUCAUAAGAGUCUCUCUUGAGAAUAUUUUUGGAAUACGAGUAGUCGUUUAUCCGAUAGUAUCCGAAAGAUGGGAUGAUGACUAUGGGAACCUCUUGUAGAACAUGAUUGUCAGGUUUAACCAUAGUACACUCCCUUUGGGUGGUUCUUAACCNNNNNNNNNNNNNNNNNNNNNNNNNNNNNNNNNNNNNNNNNNNNNNNNNNNNNNNNNNNNNNNNNNNNNNNNNNNNNNNNNNNNNNNNNNNNNNNNNNNNNNNNNNNNNNNNNNNNNNNNNNNNNNNNNNNNNNNNNNNNNNNNNNNNNNNNNNNNNNNNNNNNNNNNNNNNNNNNNNNNNNNNNNNNNNNNNNNNNNNNNNNNNNNNNNNNNNNNNNNNNNNNNNNNNNNNNNNNNNNNNNNNNNNNNNNNNNNNNNNNNNNNNNNNNNNNNNNNNNNNNNNNNNNNNNNNNNNNNNNNNNNNNNNNNNNNNNNNNNNNNNNNNNNNNNNNNNNNNNNNNNNNNNNNNNNNNNNNNNNNNNNNNNNNNNNNNNNNNNNNNNNNNNNNNNNNNNNNNNNNNNNNNNNNNNNNNNNNNNNNNNNNNNNNNNNNNNNNNNNNNNNNNNNNNNNNNNNNNNNNNNNNNNNNNNNNNNNNNNNNNNNNNNNNNNNNNNNNNNNNNNNNNNNNNNNNNNNNNNNNNNNNNNNNNNNNNNNNNNNNNNNNNNNNNNNNNNNNNNNNNNNNNNNNNNNNNNNNNNNNNNNNNNNNNNNNNNNNNNNNNNNNNNNNNNNNNNNNNNNNNNNNNNNNNNNNNNNNNNNNNNNNNNNNNNNNNNNNNNNNNNNNNNNNNNNNNNNNNNNNNNNNNNNNNNNNNNNNNNNNNNNNNNNNNNNNNNNNNNNNNNNNNNNNNNNNNNNNNNNNNNNNNNNNNNNNNNNNNNNNNNNNNNNNNNNNNNNNNNNNNNNNNNNNNNNNNNNNNNNNNNNNNNNNNNNNNNNNNNNNNNNNNNNNNNNNNNNNNNNNNNNNNNNNNNNNNNNNNNNNNNNNNNNNNNNNNNNNNNNNNNNNNNNNNNNNNNNNNNNNNNNNNNNNNNNNNNNNNNNNNNNNNNNNNNNNNNNNNNNNNNNNNNNNNNNNNNNNNNNNNNNNNNNNNNNNNNNNNNNNNNNNNNNNNNNNNNNNNNNNNNNNNNNNNNNNNNNNNNNNNNNNNNNNNNNNNNNNNNNNNNNNNNNNNNNNNNNNNNNNNNNNNNNNNNNNNNNNNNNNNNNNNNNNNNNNNNNNNNNNNNNNNNNNNNNNNNNNNNNNNNNNNNNNNNNNNNNNNNNNNNNNNNNNNNNNNNNNNNNNNNNNNNNNNNNNNNNNNNNNNNNNNNNNNNNNNNNNNNNNNNNNNNNNNNNNNNNNNNNNNNNNNNNNNNNNNNNNNNNNNNNNNNNNNNNNNNNNNNNNNNNNNNNNNNNNNNNNNNNNNNNNNNNNNNNNNNNNNNNNNNNNNNNNNNNNNNNNNNNNNNNNNNNNNNNNNNNNNNNNNNNNNNNNNNNNNNNNNNNNNNNNNNNNNNNNNNNNNNNNNNNNNNNNNNNNNNNNNNNNNNNNNNNNNNNNNNNNNNNNNNNNNNNNNNNNNNNNNNNNNNNNNNNNNNNNNNNNNNNNNNNNNNNNNNNNNNNNGCUAUUAGGAUUUUCUCUACUCUUAAUCCCGUUCCUACUCUGUUGGGUGACACUUACUUUUCUUUGCAUAUGAGGAAUGCAAACGGUGGUGGUACCAUUCUGUGUUGUUUGCCUCUGUUGUACAAGUGGUUUAUUUCGCACUUGCCACAGACGCUCGCCUUCAAGGAGAACAAAGGAUGUCUACGGUGGUCCACGAGACUUAUAUCUCUCACUAAUGAUGAUAUAACCGUGUAUAUGAUGGUGUGCAGAUUAUUGACUCUUGUGGUGAAUUCUCCAAUGUGCCUCUUCUUGGUACAUGUGGUGGGAUUAACUAAAACCCUAUUUUGGCACGUCGUCAGCUUGGUUUCCCCUUAAAGGACAAACCUAAUAACAUUUUGUUAGAGGGUGUGUUCUUUCAAGAGGGUAAAGAUCCUCAAAACUUGAAGGGCAUGAUGGUCCGCGCUUGGCGCAAGAUUCAUAGGAAGGGAAGGAAAUAGCUUGGUCUGAAGAAUUGUAUUACUUUGGAACCCUAUACCUCGUGGGUUAGGAGGAGAGCUUCUGAGUACCGCAUGCCUUAUGACUACCCAAGACCUACACCUAUGGUUAUGGCUGGGCCUUCAACCCUCCCUAACCAAGGAGUAGAGGAGUUGAGAGAUGAAGAUCAUUCGCGUGCUUGGGUCCGUGAGCGAGAGGAGCUACUUCAGUAGCUUAGAGAUAAGGAUGCGUUGAUAGAGUUUCUGGAGCAGCAGAUUAUCGACGAGCCUGAUGAUGUGGUGACUUCUCUUAUUCCUCAGUCUUCCAGGUUUUGGAAGAGGAAGUAUGACCGGCUUACCAAGGAGAAGGCAGAUAUGGAGGCAGCCUAUGAGAGAGAGGUGAAGAGGCUUCGUGCAACUUAUCUUCCGGUCUCGAGAGCUUUGGACGAUUGUUUCUAGGGUUCCAUAGGAUGUUCAUUUUCCUUCUCUCUUGUAUUGUAUUUGGUUACCAAGACUGUACUUCUUUGGUGUAAAUUUUUUCCAGAUAUUAUUGAUAUGAUUUUUCCAUAUAUGUCUAAAUGAUUAAUAUUUCCAAAUAUUCGCAAAUAGAGCUCUAAAAGUUCCUCUGAUAAAAAAUUCAAAUCAUAUGCACAAGCAUUGCAUGCAUCAUGUGCAUAAGCAAGUUUUGUUCAAGGGCUUCUUGUUCAGUGGUCUAACUCUGUGUUCUUCAUUUAUUUUGAAGACAAGCUGACGCACCGGUACUACACCAGAGCCAAUACAUCAAAGCUAAUGGAUCACCUAGAGCAAGAGAACAGAGAACUGAAGGAGGAAGUGGCAAGAUUCACUGCCCUGAUGGAGUCCUUCUUGGCCGCCCAAAGCCAGUCUUCUCCAACACCUUCAACUCCUCCCUAGAGGACGGUCAUUUCUGAGAUCGCUGCCUCUACCGUGCCUGCUGCCAGUGCCCAUUUUGCGCCUACUGCUAUGCCAGCCAGGUUUCCCUGGGGGAUGCCUCCCAACUUUGUUCCAAAGGGUCUCGCCCCAACUUUUGCUUCUCCGCCGGCAUCUAGCCCGGUCCUUACUGUGCCACCUCCAGUCGUGCAUACUUUGCCGAGAGUAGAUGACACCAUUUACCACUCUGAGCCAUCUGAGGACCCAGAUGUCUAUGAGAAAAUGGACGCUAUGAAUGAUCAAUUCCUUGAGCUGCGCAAGGAACUCAAAAAUCUCAGAGGGAAUGACCUCUUUGGCAAAUCUGUUGCUGAGCUUUGUCUCGUACCUAAUGUCAAGAUUCCUGUCAAAUUCAAAGUGCCUGACUUUGAAAAGUACAAAGGACACACUUGUCCGCUCAGCCAUCUUGUGAUGUAUGCACACAAGAUAUCAACUCAGACCGACAAUGAUCAACUCCUUAUCCAUUACUUCCAGGACAGCCUGUCUGGUGCCGCUUUGAGAUGGUACAUGGGUUUGGACAACGCAAACAUCCGCUCCUUCAACGACCUUGGCAAAGCCUUUGUCAAGCAAUACAAAUACAACGUUGAUAUGGAUCCCGAUAGGGACCAACUGAGGGCCAUGUCCCAGAAGGAGAAAUAAACUUUUAAGGAGUAUGCCCAGAAGUGGCGAGAAUUGGCUGCACAGAUUGUGCCUCCGCUAGAAGAGAAGGAGAUGACCAAGAUCUUUUUGAAGACCUUGAGUUCAUUUUAUUAUGAGCGGAUGAUUGCUAGCGCUCCUUCUGAUUUCAUCGAGAUGGUGAACAUGGGGAUGCAUCUAGAUGAAGGAGUCAGGGAAGGGCGCCUGACCAGAGAAGAAGUCUCUUCUGCCAAAUGUUAUGGGGCAUUUGCGAAGAAGAAAGAUGGUGAGGCACAUGUUGUGUCCUCCCAUGGCAAAUCAAGAAGACCCUUUGUGAAGAGGAAGACUGUGCGUCCAGCCAGUAACCAGCACCAGGUGGCUCAUAUAGCACCUGCAUUCAGAGAAAACCAGCAUUCUCAGCAUCAGAACCAGCAACAACAACAUCAACAGUAUCAGCAACAACAGUAUCGUCCUCAACAGUAGGCCUACCAGCCUCGAAACAACAAUCAAACCAGCACGAGCUAUGAUAGGAAGAGGGUCAAUUUCGAUCCUAUUCCAAUGACCUAUGCGAGCUUUAUCCUUCAUUAAUUGAAAGGAAGUUGAUUACUCCACGUGACCCACCUGAUAUACCUACCAACCCUCAGUGGUGGUAUAAGCUUGAGCUUCAUUGUGUUUAUCAUUCCGGCGCUCCCGGACAUGAUGUGGAGAACUGUUACCCUCUCAAGACCAAGGUUCAAGACCUUGUUAGAAGUGGUAUCUUGUUUUUCGAGGACGUAGGUACUAACGUCAAGAAGAACCCAUUGCCCGAGCAUGGGAAAUCUGUUGUUAAUAUGGUUCAGCGUUGCCCUGGCAAAUACAAGGUCCAAUAUGUCAGCCAUAUCCGACAAUCUCUGGUCGAGAUGCAUAGACUGUUAUGUGGAUACAGUCACUACGAGCAUGACCAUAACAGUUGCCGUGUUUGCACUGUCAAUGAGAGAGGAUGUCGUCGAGUCAGAAAAGACAUCCAAGAAAUGCUGGAUCAGGGUGUAAUUGAGAUACUUCAGAAUCGUGAUGAGGACGAAGUGAAUGUGAUAUCACCUAUAUUCAGGAUACCUGACCCUGUUGUUGUCAGAUAUGAUGGCAGCAAGCAGAAGGCUUCUCCCUCUCUGAUUAUUAAGCCAGCUGGCCCUGUUCCGUACUCUUUCGAAAAAGUUGUUCCCUAUCGUUAUAAUGCGGUUGAAUUGGAAGAUGGGAAGGAGGUGCCUAUACCCUCCACUUCUAUUGUGAAUAUUGCUGAUGUCAGUGGAUUGACCCGCAGUGGUCGUGUUUUCUCGGCGCCGCCGAAACCCCAGGCUAACACCAGAAGAGUUGAUACUGUUGAUAGUGUCGUUCGUCCUUUGGGGAAUUAUUCUGUUUCUACGAAUCCGGCACUUGUUGUUAACAGACCUGUCGUUGCUGCUAGAACUCCUAUCCCUGCUGGCCAGAAUGGUAUGAUGAAAGAGGAGUGUGAUGAGAUGAUGAGGCUCAUCAAGAGGAGUGAGUACAAUGUUGUAGAUCAGCUGCUAUGAACGCCUUCAAAGAUAUUUGUGUUGUCUUUGUUAAUGAACUUUGAGCCACACCGUGAAGCUUUGCAGAAGGUGUUGGACAUGGCGUACGUAGAUCAUGAUGUCACCAUAGAACAAUUUGAUAGCAUUGUUGCAAACAUUACUGCUUAUAACAACCUGAGCUUCUGUGAUGCUGAUCUUCCCGAGGAGGGAAAGAACCACAAUUUGGCACUUCACAUCUCUAUGAAUUGCAAGGACGAUGCCUUAUCUAACGUGCUGGUAGACACUGGAUCAUCGCUGAAUAUGUUGCCAAAAUCCACUUUGGCCAAACUUUCAUAUCAGGGGCCUCCCAUGAGGCAAAGUGGAGUGGUCGUGAAAGCUUCUGAUGGAUCCCACAAGACUGUGAUUGGCGAGGUUGAGCUCCCAAUCAUGAUUGGACCUAGUGAUUUCCAGAUCACUUUUCAGGUCAUGGAUAUCCACCCAUCAUAUAGCUUCUUGUUAGGCAGACCAUGGAUUCACGAGGCAGGCGCCGUGACAUCCACUCUACACCAAAAGUUGAAGUUCGUUAAGAACAAAAAGUUGGUGGUGGUAGGGGGAGAGAAGGCUCUCUUGGUUAGCCAUUUGUCUUCCUUUUCUUAUAUUGAUGUCGAGGAUGAGGUUGGGAUGUCGCUCCAAGCCUUGUCUAUUGUUGAGCCUUCUAAGAAAGGAACUUCUUCAUUUGCGUCCUACAAUAAUGCGAAGUUAGCCAUUGAACAUGGCACAACUACUGGUUUAGGACAAAUGAUUAAGCUGGAAGACAAUAAAUCUCGGGCUGGCAUAGGGUAUUCUUCAGGAACUUUCAACAAGCACGGUCUAUUUCAGAGUGGUGGUUUCAUCUACACGGUUGAAAACCAGGAAGCUGCUGCUAUUAUGGAAGAGGAUGCAGAGGAAGAUUCUGGCGACUUUGUCAUCCCUGGAGGAGUCUGCAAUAAUUGGGUCGCUGUUGAUGUUCCAACAGUUAUCCAUAAGUCCACGUAAUGUUCAUUUUUGUUUAAAAACCCUUCUCCCAUGCCAAAAGGAGAAGUGAUGACAUUGUUGGCCCAUAAAUACAAUGAUAUUCAUUCAAUAAAUUCAUGUUAAAUGUUUGUUUUUCCAAAUUAUUUUCACUUUUUACUUUUUGCAUGAAAUUGGUGAUCACCAAAAAACCCUAAAAAAAUAAAAUAAAAUCAAUCUUUUCAUCUGCAUAAUGAUUUGCUUUGUUUGAAUUCUAAAAUCUCUUUUAUAUCCAAAAUCAUUAUGCAGGUUGAUCAAACCCAUUGAACAUAUUGAUCCAACACCAUCUCCCAACUUUGAGUUCCCUGUAUUUGAGGCCGAAGAAGAUGAUGUUGAAGAGAUUCCUGAUGAGAUUACCCGUCUGCUUGAGCAUGAAGAGAAGAUCAUUCAGUCGCAUCUUGAGAAUCUGGAAACAGUCAACUUGGGGUCUGAGGAUUGUGUUCGUGAGGUGAAGAUUAGGGCACUCCUGGAAGAAUCUGUUAAGAAGGGAUUGAUUGAGUUGCUACGAGAAUAUGUCGACGUCUUUGCCUGGUCAUAUGAAGAUAUGUCUGGUCUAGAUACUGAUAUCGUGCAACAUUUCCUGCCUUUGAAGCCUGAGUGUAUGCCUGUGAAGCAGAAGCUCAGAAGAACUCAUCCUGAUAUGGCAGUGAAGAUUAAAGAAGAAGUUCAAGAAAAGCAAAAUUGAUGCGGGGUUUCUGGUGACUUCUACAUAUCCUCAAUGGGUUGGCCAAUAUUGUGCCCGUGCCUAAGAAAGAUGGAAAAGUCCGAAUGUGUGUGGACUAUAGAGACUUGAAUAAAGCUAGUCCGGAAGAUGAUUUUCCUCUACCACAUAUUGAUAUGUUGGUAGAUACAGCUAAAUUCAAUGUCUUCUCAUUUAUGGACUGAGGAUUUUCCGGAUAUAAUCAGAUCAAAAUGGCACCCGAGGAUAUGGAGAAGACAACAUUCAUCACACCUUGGGGAACAUUCUGUUAUCGAGUGAUGCCCUUCGGUUUGAAGAACGCCGGAGCCACGUAUCAACGAGCUAUGACUACCUUGUUUCAUGAUAUGAUGCACAAGGAGAUCGAGGUGUAUGUUGAUGAUAUGAUUAUGAAGUCGAAAACGGAAGUUGGACAUGUAGAGCACUUGUUAAAGCUUUUUCAGCGCCUGAGGAAGUAUAAGCUUCGUUAGAAUUCGAACAAGUGUACAUUUGGAGUCCGUUUCGGCAAAUUAUUGGGUUUUAUUGUCAGUGAAAGAGGUAUUGAAGUUGAUCCUGUCAAGGUCAGAGCAAUACAAGAGAUGCUUGCGCCCAAAACUGAGAAGCAAGUCUGAGGUUUUCUUGGCCGCUUGAAUUAUAUUUCCAAAUUUAUAUUUCACAUGACUGCCACAUGUGCGCGAAUAUUCAAGCUCCUCCGGAAAGAUCAGCGUCAUGGUUGGACCGAGGAUUGCCAAAAGGCCUUUGAUAGUAUCAAAGAGUAUCUGUCCGAGCCUCUGAUUCUGUCUCCGCCUGUGGAAGGGAGACCCUUGAUUAUGUAUCUGACUGUUCUUGAAGACUCUAUGGGUUGUGUAUUGGGUCAGCAAGAUGAAUGAGGGAAGAAGAAGUAUGUCAUUUACUAUCUGAGUAAGAAGUUAACUAAUUGUGAGUCUCGAUACUCAAUGCUUGAGAAAACUAGCUGUGCUUUGGCUUGGGCUGCUAAGCGCUUACGCCAGUAUAUGUUGAAUCAUACGACUUGGUUGAUAUCCAAAAUGGAUCCAAUCAAGUAUAUCUUUGAGAAGCCUGCUUUAACUAGGAGGAUUGCCCUGAAUCAUACGACUUGGUUGAUAUCCAAAAUGGAUCCAAUCAAGUAUAUCUUUGAGAAGCCUGCUUUAACUAGGAGGAUUGCCCGUUGGCAGAUGCUGUUGUCUGAGUAUGAUAUUGAGUAUCGAGCUUAGAAAGAUAUUUAAGGUAGUAUCUUGACUGAUCACUUGGCACAUCAACCAAUUGAGGAUUAUCAGUUAGUUCAGUAUGACUUCCCAAAUAAGGAGAUUCUGUAUUUGAAGAUGAAAUAUUGCGAUGAGCCUAUGCUCGAUGAAGGGCCAGAGCCUGGUUCUCGAUGGAGUAUGGCGUUUGAUGGCGCUGUAAAUCAGUAUGGAAAUGGUAUUGGGGCAGUGAUUAUUACUCCUCAGGGCACACAUUUUCCUUUUACAUCAAGGCUAACUUUCAAAUGCACGAAUAAUAUGGCAGAGUAUGAGGCCUGUAUUAUGGGAUUGGAAGAAUGUAUUGAUCUUAGGAUCAAACAUCUUGAUGUUUAUGGUGAUUCGGCCUUGUUGUUAAUCAGAUUAAGGGUGAAUGGGAGACGAAUCAGCCAGGCCUCAUCCCAUAUAGAGAUUAUGCGAGGAGGAUUUCAACUUUCUUUACUGAGGUUGACUUCCAUAAUAUUCCUCAAGAUGAGAAUCGGAUGGCAAAUGCGCUUGCUUCGAUGAUUGUGGUGAAAUUCUAGAAUGAAGUCCCCAAUAUCACUGUGAUGUGCUUGGAUAGACCAACUCAUGUAUUUGCAGUUGAAGAAGUAAAAGAUGAUAAGCCAUGGUAUUGUGAUAUCAAAUGUUUUCUUUAGAGUCAGAUUUACCCGCCUAGGGCAUCUGUUAAAGAUAAGAAGACUUUGAGGAGAUUGUCUGGAAGUUUCUACCUCAAUGGCGAUAUGCUUUAUAAGAGAAAUUUUGACAUGGUUCUGCUCAGAUGCGUGGAUAGACACGAAGCAGACCUGUUGAUGACUGAAGUCCAUGACGGUUCAUUUGGUACUCAUUCCAAUGGACAUGCCAUGGCUAAGAAGAUGUUAAGAGCAUGCUACUAUUGGCUGACAAUGGAGUCUGACUGCUGCAAGUAUGUAAAGAAAUGCCAUAAGUGUCAGAUUUAUGCGGAUAAGAUUCAUAUUCCCCUGAUACUUCUGAAUGUGAUUUCAUCACCAUGGCCUUUCUCUAUGUGGGAAAUUGACCUGAUUGGCAUGAUAGAGCCAAGAGCGUCCAACAGUCACAAAUUUAUUCUCGUAGCAAUUGAUUACUUCACCAAAUGGGUUGAAGCGACAUCGUAUGAAAACGUGACCAGGCAGGUGUUUGUGAAGUUUAUCAAGAAUCAAAUCAUAUGUCGUUAUGGUGUGCCAAAUAAGAUCAUUACUGAUAAUGGAUCUAACUUGAACAGCAAGAUGAUGAAAGAGCUGUGUAGUGAGUUCAAGAUUGCACAUUAUAAUUCUUCUCCUUAUAGACCCAAGAUGAAUGGGGUUGUUGAAGCUGCUAACAAGAACAUUAAGAAGGUUAUUUAGAAGAUGGUUGUUACGCACAAAGAUUGGCAUGAGAUGCUGCCAUUUGCUUUGCGUGGUUAGACAUUACUCUUUCCAAUAUAUGCCUUAGAAGCCAAGCACCUAAGUUUACCAAACCCAUCUUGGCCUAUUUUUAGGAUGUAGUGCGAAAGUCGUUCAAGUGUAAGAUUUGAUAUGAUUGUUACGCGAUACUACACUCAUAAGAGUCUCUCUUGAGAAUAUUUUUGGAAUACGAGUAGUCGUUUAUCCGAUAAUAUCCUAAGAUGGGAUGAUGACUAUGGAACUCCUUGUAGAACAUGAUUGUCAGGUUUAACCGUAGUACACUCCCUUUGGGUGGUUCUUAACCGAGACUCCAUGCUCGUGACUUGCAACAAACCCUUGAUUCAUGGUUGAUCCGUUCUUGUAUAUCCUUAAUAUCAGUGGAACUUGGGUGUUGAUAAGGUGUAAACCAUAAUCCACUAAAAUGGAUGAUUGAUAUUAAGGAUGACUUGGUCCAUCCCAUGACCUUUGUGUGGUGUGUUUUGCUUGAUCCUUGAGUGUGAUUGUUGCAUCCAUGCAUUCAUGCAUUCAUAUACAUCCAUAUCAUCAACAAUGAGAAAAUUUUCAAAGAACUUAAAAGGUCUAUUUGCAAAUUUUCAGACAUGGAUAAGCAAAGAAGGAAUACAGGGAAGUACAGUUUCAGACAACCCGACUUGAAAGAGUUAAGGAGUUUGACAUCCUAUGUAUUAGAUCCUUUGGAGUUCAAGGCUCGUCAUGCGAAGCUUCUGUCUAUUCUUGCUACUCAUGUGGAUGAAGGUCUGAUGAGUGUGUUGGUGCAGUUCUAUGAUCCCUUGUAUCGUUGCUUCACAUUUCCGGAUUUCCAGCUUUUGCCUUCGCUUGAGGAGUAUGCCUAUCUUGUGGGUAUACCUAUCUUAGAUCAUUUGUCGUUCAGUGGCUUGGAGAGAGUUCCUUCUUCUCAAAGAUUGCUGAUCUGUUGCAUAUAGAUGAAUUGUUGUUGGUGCUCAUAUGACCACCAAGAAUUCAAGGUCUCCCAUCUGAUUUCCUCAUUUCUCAAGCUACUAUGUUUGGGAAGGCCAUGAGUGAGGAUGCCUUUGAGGCCAUAUUUGUACUUCUCAUCAAUGGGCUAGUGUUAUUCCCCAACAUUGACAAUUUUGUGGAUGUGAACGCUAUUAGGAUUUUCUCUACUCUUAAUCCCGUUCCUACUCUGUUGGGUGACACUUACUUUUCUUGGCAUAUGAGGAAUGCAAAGGGUGGUGGUACCAUUGUGUGCUAUUUGCCUCUGUUGUACAAGUGGUUUAUUUCGCACUUGCCACAAACGCUCGCCUUCAAGGAGAACAAAGGAUGUCUACGGUGAUCCACGAGACUUAUGUCUCUCACUAAUGAUGAUAUAACCGUGUAUAUGAUAGUGUGCAGAUUAUUGACUCUUGUGGUGAAUUCUCCAAUGUGCCUCUUCUUGGUACAUGUGGUGGGAUUAACUAAAACCCUAUUUUGGCACCUCGUCAGCUUGGUUUCCCCUUAAAGGACAAACCUGAUAACAUUUUGUUAGAGGGUGUGUUAUUUCAAGAGGGUAAAGAUCCUCAAAACUUGAAGGGCAAGAUGGUCCGUGCUUGGCGCAAGAUUCAUAGGAAGGGAAGGAAAGAGCUUAGUCCGAAGAAUUGUAUUACUUUGGAACCCUAUACCUCGUGGGUUAGGAGGAGAGAUUCUGAGUACCGCAUGCCCUAUGACUACCCGAGACCUACACAUAUGGUUAUGGAUGGGCCUUCAACCCUCCCUAACCAAGGAGUAGAGGAGUUGAGAGAUGAAGACCAUUCGCGUGCUUGGGUCCGUGAGCGAGAGGAGCUACUUCAGCAGCUUAGAGAUAAGGAUGCGUUGAUAGAGUUUCUGGAGCAUCAGAUUAUCGACGAGCCUGAUGAUGUGGUGACUUCUCUUCUUCCUCAGUCUUCCAGGUUUUGGAAGAGGAAGUAUGACCGGCUUGCCAAGGAGAAGGCAGAUAUGGAGGCAGCCUAUGAGAGAGAGGUGAAGAGGCUUCGUGCAGCUUAUCUUCCGGUCUCGAGAGCUUUGGACGAUUGUUUCUAGGGUUCCAUAGGAUGUUCAUUUUUGAGGCAGCCUAUGAGAGAGAGGUGAAGAGGCUUCGUGCAGCUUAUCUUCCGGUCUCGAGAGCUUUGGACGAUUGUUUCUAGGGUUCCAUAGGAUGUUCAUUUUCCUUCUCUCUUGUAUUGUAUUUUGUUACCAAGACUGUACUUCUUGGGUGUAAAACUUUUCCAGAUAUUAUUGAUAUGAUUUUUCCAUAUAUGUCUAAAUGAUUAAUAUUUCCAAAUAUUUUCAAAUAGAGCUCUAAAAGUUCCUCUGAUAAAAAUUUCAAAUCAUAUGCACAAGCAUUGCAUGCAUCAUGUGCAUAAGCAAGUUUUAUUCCAGGGCUUCUUGUUCAGUGGUCUAACUCUGUGUUCUUCAUUUAUUUUGAAGACAAGCGUACGCACCUGUACUACACCAGAGCCAAUACAUCAAAGUUAAUGGAUCACCUAGAGCAAGAGAACAGAGAACUGAAGGAGGAAGUGGCAAGAUUGACUGCCCUGAUGGAGUCCUUCUUGGCCACCCAAAGCCAGUCUUCUCCAACACCUUCAACUCCUCCCCAUAGGACGGUCAUUUCUGAGAUCGCUGCCUCUACCGUGCCUGCUGCCAGGGCCCAUUUUGCGCCUACUGCUAUGCCAACCAGGUUUCCCUGGGGGAUGCCUCCCAACUUUGUUCCAGAGGGUCUCGCCCCAACUUUUGCUUCUCCGCCAGCAUCUAGCCCGGUCCUUACUGUGCCACCUCCAGUCGUGCAUACUUUGGCGAGAGUAGAUGACGCCAUUUACCACUCUGAGCCAUCUGAGGGCCCAGAUGUCUAUGAGAAAAUGGACGCUAUGAAUGAUCAAUUCCUUGAGCUGCGCAAGGAACUCAAAAAUCUCAGAGGGAAGGACCUCUUUGGCAAAUCUGUUGCUGAGCUUUGUCUCAUACCUAAUGUCAAGAUUCCUGUCAAAUUCAAAGUGCCUGACUUUGAAAAGUACAAAGGAAACACUUGUCCGCUCAGCCAUCUUGUGAUGUAUGCACACAAGAUGUCAACUCAGUCCGACAAUGAUCAACUCCUAAUCCAUUACUUCUAGGACAGCCUAUCCGGUGCCUCUUUGAGAUGGUACAUGGGUUUGGACAGCGCAAACAACCGCUCCUUCAACGACCUUAGAAAAGCCUUCGUCAAGCAAUACAAAUACAACAUUGAUAUGGCUCCCGAUAGGGACCAACUGAGGGCCAUGUCCCAAAAGGAGAAAGAAACUUUUAAGGAAUACGCUCAGAGGUGGGGAGAAUUGGCUGCACAGAUUAUGCCUCCGCUAGAAGAGAAGGAGAUGACCAAGAUCUUUCUGAAGACCUUGAGUUCAUUUUAUUAUGAGCGAAUGAUUGCUAGCGCUCCUUCUGAUUUCAUCGAGAUGGUGAACAUGGGUGUAGCACCUCAAGUUUGCACCUACAUUUUGUACAUACAUUUUCGUCAUUAGUUCAUUAACAUAACAUAGUCCACUGCAUAACAUUGCAUUGUCCUUUGCCCAAGUGCAAGAUCAUUAGUCAGGUUAGGUCAAACUGGUCAGGAGAUCAGUCAAUCAAGCAAGCAAGGGCAAUUUUCAUUGAGCCAAGGCCCUAGGGUUGGUCCAACAUGUUCACAUGACCUAGGGGUCCUUUUGAAGUGUUUUGGUCAAGGAUUGGAUGCUCAGAAGUCAUCAGUCAUGGCUCAGUUCACCAGAAACCCUAAAAAGUCAACUGUUGGUCAACUGUGCAUUUAAUCAGUGAUUGGAUGGUGAGAAUUGGUUUGAGAAGGCUCAUUCAUGUCCAUAUAAGCCUCAUAUAACAUGUCAAACAUCAUCAUGGAAGAAUUUGAAGCCAGACAAGAAAUUUCCAAAAAUAGAAAGUUGACCUGUAAUUGGAAUUUGCCAAAAAUGGAAAGUCUUGAUCCUCAAACUUACAUCAUGAUACAAGCUUCAAAUGAAUUUUUGCCCAACAUGAAAGUUGAAUAUCUUGUUCUCCCAUUUCCAAAAAGUCCAAGAACACUCAAUUCCCAUGUAUGGUUGGCAAGUCAUGAUCAAAUCAUUUUCAAAAAUUCUUGAACUUCAAAAGGCCAUAUCUCUCAAACCAUUUGGCCAAAUUUGGUGGGGUUUUUUCCAACAAGUCACAUUUGACCUCCUCUUUCCAAAUAUGUAACCAUCACUCACCAAAACAUCAUAGAUCAAAAUGGCAUUUUUGGACUUGCAUGAAUUAAUUUCAAGUGUAGUGAAAAUUUGACUUUUUAAAAUAAUCAUUUUCCAUCAAAUUGGCCAUUUGAAAUAGUUCAGAAAUUGCAUUUUGGACAUGUUAGAAGCCCAAUUUCGCAGCUGUUAGCACAUGGCCUUGUCAUUUGAGUGGAAUUGCACAAUUAGUCAAAACACCUUCAUUNNNNNNNNNNNNNNNNNNNNNNNNNNNNNNNNNNNNNNNNNNNNNNNNNNNNNNNNNNNNNNNNNNNNNNNNNNNNNNNNNNNNNNNNNNNNNNNNNNNNNNNNNNNNNNNNNUGUUUCAUCAACAUCCUUCCAUGGCAGAUAUUGGUUGCAGCUAGUAGCAAGAUUGUUGAGCCAAAAUUCCUUAGCCAUACACCAUCUAGAGCAUCGUGGUUCAUCUGUUUCAACCAUUUGAGGCCAAGUAACCACGAUCCAACUCAGCUCUUCAAAUCUGGUAUGUACUUCGAAUCUCUCAUUUAUUGAAAUGAUGCUAUCCUUUGUGUAGAUCUUGCCAUGCUUAUUGUUUUGAGCUUUGAACCAAGAAAAAUGGUUGAGUAUUUACAAAGUUAUGCUGAAUGGAAACUUGAUAUGUGAAUGAUGUUUUGCGUAGUUCUUCCAUUGCUAGCUCGAUUUCAUGAUUUUUGAUGUUAGGAUGUUGAUGAGGGUUGUUUAGUGGUUCGAUUGCUAUGCUUGAUUUCAUGUUCUGGGCAAAUUAAUUUUCCACGAUUGGUGAAGAAGAUGAUGAUAUGAACUGUAGCUUCACAAACCCUAAAAAAUAAACCCAGAAAUCGUGUUCUGCAUUUUGGCUUUUGUUUGCAUGAAAUUGCCACUGUUUUAUUGCCAUGAGCGAAUGGUUGCUUGCCACGUCUGGGAGUGCUGCGCACCGUUUCAUUAAAAGGUCUCAAUAAUUACCAAUAUGCCAUUGCCGGAUUAAUUCUUAUUUAAAUCAUAUUAUUUCUUCAAUAUUCAUUUCAUUUGUUACACCAAUUUGCAAAAAUCAUAUCUCAUCCAUUUGUGAUCCAAAUUUCAUAAAAUGUUUUGCAUUAUGCUCUGCUUGAUCUCUACUUAUUAAUCAUGAUUUUUCCUGAUUUUUUAGAUAAGUGAAUUUUAAAUGGUGCUAGGGUUUGUGACAUGUAUCCAUAUUUUGUACCUUUUACCAAAACACUUGUGAAAUGAUGAUGCAUUAUCCUAUGGCCUUGAAAUUUUUUAUUCUCAAACUAGACACAUUCAUGGUGAUUUUCGUGUAGAGUUUAGGAAUUUAUCAUCUCUGGUUGUUGAGUUAUGAUUUUUUGAAGCAGGGUGUGACAAUUUGUGUCACACCAUUGAUGUGCAACUUGAUGAUUUUCAAUACCAUGCCUCUGGACCUCAAAUUGGAUUGAAUUUUUGCAUGAAUGUACUUGAGUUACUCUAGUAUUACAUGUGAUGUUUCUUUCGAAAUUUACCAUUUCNNNNNNNNNNNNNNNNNNNNNNNNNNNNNNNNNNNNNNNNNNNNNNNNNNNNNNNNNNNNNNNNNNNNNNNNNNNNNNNNNNNNNNNNNNNNNNNNNNNNUAACGGUAGUAGAUAAUACAUCUCAUGCGCUCUUCAGUCAAAGCCUUUUUCUUCCCCAAUCGAGUAAGAUUCGUAUUUCCUUGUGGAAUCGAAUGGCCAUCCUGUAAGUCGAGUUUGCUUUUUCAGCCCUCCUUUCGGAUGAUGGGUGUCUUGGAUAUGUCCCAAUUCACGCCUGGUUGGUCACCUAUUAUAUACCCAGCAACCGGUAUCCCUGGUGUUCCUUCCUUCUGCUCCCUGUUAUGACUUUUUGUCCCCUGUGGAGUCAGAUUUUCCUGAGUUGAGAUGUGCCUUUUGGGUUCUCCUUAGAUGUUUCGGAUGAUUGGUAUCUUUCACCCUUUGAGUUUAUUAUCCAGUAACCUGUAAUAUCUCGUUGUUUCUUCCUCAGCUGAGUCCUUUAUGGACAUCCCCGUCUGAGUCCGGAUUUCAUCCGAUGUAUCCUUUUUGGAUAAUUUUGUUGUAUUGGCACAUUCCCCAAUACAUGCAUCUUUGUGUUAGCUCGAGUCUUUCCAUCAAUUUAUUUUCAUGGAACCCCUUCGCGUCUCCCAGCAAAUUUUCAAGUCGUGACCUUCUCACGCAUUUUUACCUUAUUUCCCCCCAGAGUCUCUGUCUCCCUAGUGAGUGUGUUACUCAUAUGGAUCUUCAGCGCCCCCGAUUUCUUUUUCUUUGUGGAAAUUAUUCACCACGAAGAUUUUUGUUUUGCAUACAUACAUUUGCAUCAUGAGGUCUCUUAGGGACCAAAAUUCGUCUCUUUGCUAUUAUUUAAGCUCAUUCUAUCUCGUCAAGAUGAAGAUUUAAACCUUCAUAUCUCUGGCUAGAACGAACUUAAAUAGGGGCAUCUGUAAGACCCUAAUUAUGACCCUAAGAUCCCUCAUGACAUCAUGUUAUUGUACAAGUGCAUUGUCUCAAGGAUCAUAGCAUGUUUGGCUCCUUAACCCUAGGGUUGGGACUUGUUUGAGUGUUUUGAGACCACCAAGCAUGCUUGUAUUGUAUAUUAUUGCUUUUCUUAUUUGAUUACUAACCAAAAUCACAAGAUUAUGUCACUAACUCUUUUUGUUUUGAAGCUCAAGUGAUCAUGUGCUCCACAAUUUCUAAGAGGCUCCUAAGCCCAAUGCAAUGGCUAGAUGAAGAUGAGAAAAAGCAUGAAAAUGGUCCACAAAGUUUCUAAUCAUCAUAUAUGUCUCCCAAGUAUCUCAAUUUUCCAAUUUGAUCAAGAUAACCCAAAGGGCUUGAAGAUUGUUUCCCAAGGAAACCCUAAUUUCACUGUGCUUUUAUUGUGCCUUGCCCAUGAAGCAAUCUCAACCUAUGAUCAAAUUUAAUCAAGGGAAGUUAUUUCAUUUAUCAUUUUAUGGAUAUAUGAUCCUAUUUUAGGCCCCUCAAUCAUUCAUUCAUCAAGAAUUGGAAGUUUUGCCUUGAAAAGUUGACCAGUCAAGUCAUCUAACUAAGCUGAGGUCCAAUGAGACAUAAUUUUUGAUAUGUUUGUCAAAUGAAGAUGACCCCAAGAGAAAAUAUGUUCCUAAGAACCAUAUGAACAAAUUUCAUGUUCAUCAAAAAUCCAUUUGAAACUUGGAAGGUCAUCAUUCAUUUCAAAAAAGUAUACAUCAUUUUGACUAAAACCCUAAUUUUGGGUCAAUUUACCAAGGACGUAACUUCCUUAAUUUUUAUGAUUUUGAAGUGAGACCAAAUGCAUUGGAAAUAUUGAGAUGUCUAAUUCAAAUUAUAUGUUGGAAAAAAUUUCAUAAUCCUUAAAUAAAUACAUGUGAUAAUGAAAAACAUUAUAGGUCAUCUUGGACCUAAUUCAUUGAAUUUGAAAAAGUACUCAACUUCAAGUGCCCAUAACUUUGUCAUAGAAAAUCCAAAUGAUGAAAACGUUCUGUCCUAAUUAUAAAUGCUUCAUUUGGAUUUGGUUUCUACCACCAUCACCACGUGUGCACUUUUGUGACCCUUGGAUUUGGUUUCCACGAUCUAAUCUCACACUUCCAUUUCAAUUACUUCAUUUAAUGCACGUUGUUGCGCGUUUGACUCAAGCCCAGCGUGUGUCCUUAGAUCUGGACCAUCCAUAAGCGCCACGUCAACUAAUGAAAUCCAUCAUGUGGUUGUGCAUUUUUCGUUUAUUCCAUUUUCUUUUUUAUUUUCUAUUAAUUCCUUUUAUUUUCAAAAUUUUAUAAAAAAUUUAUUUGAAGUCAUAAAAAUAUGAGACCAACUCCAAACUUUUUCUUGAAAAAUCUAGUUUCAUAUUAUGAUUUUUAAUUAUUUUUGUUACUUCAUCAGAUAUUUUUUAUGAAUUACUUGUUUUUUUAUUGGUUUUAAUUCAUUUUAAAAUACUUUCUGAAUUUUAAAAAAUCCAAAAAUAUUUUCAUAGCAUCUAUGGCCCAUGAUAAGUCAAUGAAAAAUAGUCUCAACAAUUUCUUAUUUGAUUUGAGAUUAUUUGAGAUUUUAAUUAAUAUUAUGCUAUUUUUAGUUGUUUUUAAUUGUUUUUAAUUACUUUCUGAUUUCAAAAAUAUGUGAGAAAAUUAGUCAAAGCUUGUUUGACUACGUUGAACCUAUGAGAAUUUAAUUGGACUUUUUGAAGUUGAUUUGAAUUGAAUUUGAGGUUCAACCUUAUUUGUUUAUUUUUAUUUGCAUUUUAUUUUAAUUCAAAAAAAUACAAAAAAAUAUUGUUGAUUUAUUGAUUUGUUAUCUUCAUUUCUCUUCUGUUUGGUGUUGAUUGAUGUUGAUUUGAUUCACAUUUGAUCAAUUGGAAUUGAUUGUUGUCUUCCUUUCCCCUCCCUUUCAUCUUCAUCCCUUUCUUUCCAUCAAUGGCCAAUGAGUUAAAGUCUUGAAGUUGGUCUUGACAAAUGAGAAGUUUAACCUUCUUUGAUCCAAACUAAACUCAACUUGAUCCAUGAUCAAGUGAGUUGUUUUGUGUCCAAGAAAGGUUGCUUCUUGGUCAAGCAAAUAACUAAAAGUCAAUACAAGGCCCUUCCCCUUUUGUUUGGCAUGGCAAGUUUAUGGAGCUUGGCUUACUAGUCAUGAUCUCUAACUUUUGUUCUUUGCCUAUAUUCUUAUUGACCGGCCUCAGAUAGGUGUGACUACUACAUUAGUUCACUUACGAUUGCUUAACAUAGCACUACAUUGUCUUAUGACAAGCUAACAUAACCACUAAAUACUAACUUUAAUUUGAGCUUUUAAUUUCUUGUCAUUUACUUUUAAUGUCAUUUAUUUUUUGCUCAUUAUUCAUAUUGAUUUUCAUCUUUGCUCACUUGAGCACAUACUUUAUGUUUAUGUCAUUUUUCCUUUGCUCAUUUGAGCCCAUUAUUGUAUACAAAUUUAUUGCUAUUUUGUGUUGUUUGUGUUUGUUUUGAUGUGGACCAAAUGAAAAAAGGAGAAAGGACUUAGAAUUAGGAUUUACCUAUGCUUAAAGGAGUUCAAGAGCAACUAGGUCUCAUGCCUUUAGAAUGCAAAAAUUUGUUGAAGAGCAACUAGGCCUCAUGCCUUUAGAAUGCUAAAACUCAAAGUUGACUUUAAAGGACUUCUCCUCCAAACUUAUUCUUUGUCCAUUCCCUUUAUUGUGUUGUGAACUUUUUGAUGUUUGCUUUUAUGUGAUAGGGAUCCCAUCUUAAGAUUGUGAAAAGAGGACCAUUGUCAUGACUAGCCAAGUUAAGAGCCAAGCAAAAUGGAGAUCCUAGGAGCUUGAAUUCAAUUUAUUGAUUGCUUGUUUGUGUGCUAAGUCCAAAGGAAAGGAGCAUCUUGAGUCAUCUCUAUGGCUUCAAGAAAAGCAACUCCAGGGGUUUUUAUUUCCACUCUUAUCUUUGUAUGCUUUAGGAAUAUCCCUUCUCUUCUUCUCCCCACUCUAACCAAGCCAAAAACCAUUUGCAAAACUUUGACCUUGUUUCAAAUUAGAAACCUAGGCCUUAAGCCUUUGACUUUUCAAAACUAUUUUCAUAAAUACUCAUUAUGAAUAAACUUUAAUCCAAACUUUGAAUUCAUUUUGUAAAUAAGUCUAACUUGUGAAUACAAUCCAUUUCAAGUUGUUUUGUGGUUCCAAUGGACACUUUCUAAAAUCUUUCAAAAACACUAGUCAUAGGUUUGAGUUAUCAUAGUGGUUGAUGUAAAUCUCACCUCAUCCUUAGUGUGGGAUUAUAAGUCUUCCAUGCUUAUUAUAGGGUUAAGCCCUCACUAGCAUGUUGAAGCCUUCCUCACAUGGUGGAUUGUUUGUUUAGGUUGAGUUUUCUCCCUUUGAUAACAAAAGUACGUAAGGCUUUUGAUUAAAAUCAAUUCACCCAUCUUUGAGAUUUUUACCCCGAACUACGAGGUUUUGAUCCUCCUUUGUGAUGGUACGUACGCAAUGGGUUCAUCCAUUCAAACAACAAAAUUUGUAAAUAUAAUCUAUUCUCUUCUCAUCCCCCCAAUCUUUUUGUACAAAUCUUUUCACAAAUACCAACCUACAACACAUAUUCGCAAGAAGAGGUUCCCUUAGAGUACUAAGGAUGCUUUGGGUGCUUAAAACCUUCCCAUUUCAUAACCAACCCCCUUACCUAAUUCUCUGACAUUUUUAUUAGUUUUUUAUUUGAAAAACUUCUUCUUUGGCUUUUGUUUGCUAUUUAGCCUUUCCUUUGGACAAAUAAAAGUGCGAAGGCGACUCGAAUUUUAUGUUGACUUUUGGUUUAGUCAAUAAACCUAAAGGUAACGAAAACCCCGCUACACAUCGGUAUCAUUAGAAACCUAGGCCCGGAUGUGUUUGAAUUCUUCAUUAACAGCCAACCAGUACACCUGUUUACCCUGCCAUACCCUAGGAUGGGUGUACAUGAUAGGAACAACUGACUCUAUGAUUUGGAUGGACAAUCACCCCAAAUCCAUGCUAACCCUGACAAUUAUCUCUCUGAUGCUGAAUCACAUGCCCCGGUUAUACCUGUUGCACCUCUCACCGAUCAUGCUACUGCCAUCGAAGUUGUUCAGACAGAUAUCGCCAAUCUGAGAGGCGAGUUGAGUACCCUCCGCGUGGAAUUCCACGGCUUUGUAGAUGUAGUAACAGAGAACCUGGAUCACAUUUACCAACAUUUCUACUCGUUCUCUCCUCCUACCAGGAGUCGCCAUAAUGGAUGAUUUACUAUAGAGUUAUCGAUUUACUGACUUUCAUUUUAUUUUAUUUUCAUGUUGGAAUUUUAUUGUUAUUUACUUCUACACAUUGGAAUUUAUUUAAUUACUUCAGUCCCUUUUAUUUCGGUAGACAAAUUUUUUCAUCUUUUCCCGUCUACCCGAUUCUUUUAUUCGUCAAUGUUGCGAUUAAAUUCCAUUCCAAUGUAGCAUGUUUAUUAUUCACAUACACUAUAUUAUUGGUAAAUUAAAAAUUGCAUGGUCAGAGAAAAAAUAAAAGCACACGCAUGGGAAACCACACUACAUGUGGCGCAUGCCACAGACAGUUGUGGCGCCCGCCACAGGGCCCUAGUGGCGCCUGCAACACGCAUGGGAAACCACACUACAUGUGGCGCAUGCCACAGACAGUUGUGGCGCCCGCCACAGGGCCCUAGUGGCGCCUGCCACACACACCAAAAGUGGCGUAGGCCACUACACAAGCCUGCACGCGCAGGCUGUGUACUUUAGUCCAUUCAACUCACCUUUAUUGUGAUGUUCCUUGCAUGCAGACAAUUUCUUAAUGCCAUUCAACCAAUUUCAAAACUCUUCGACCAAGGCAUUGACUAUGGUAAAUGCUAUUUAUUUACCAAUUAAUUUUCCAACCACCUUCACCUCUAUAUAAACCACCAACGUUACCUCAACAAUUCACAACUCUUAUUUACAUAUUUCUCUCCUCUCUUGCUCUAUUGUCACUCUAAUACACAAAGAGUGUGAAAUCCAUUAUGGCACAGAUGAGGGAAUACGAAAUAGUGUUCAGAAAUGGCGAGCCAGGCGAAUUACAAAAGGAGACGUACAUGUCUCUAAGCGCCAGAAAGAUCAAAUCAACAAGGUAUGCCGAUGAACAUUGUUUAUAUGCCUUAGGAAUUCAAGAUAAUGCUAACUCUAUGCUAUAUACGUUAAAUUUAAAUUAUUUUCUAUCUCUUAAGGACCCUGUCUAUGCUCAACUAACAUUAGAAUUCCUGAGUUCAUUAAUUUUUAGUCCCACACCCAACACAAACUUCUCUAAUGGGACUGUCCAGUUUCAUUUAUUUAACGUCGAAUAUGCCCUUACAUUUUCCCAACUGGCGGACCUGCUACAUUUCCCCCAUGGGGAUGACGUAGUAAGUGAGGUCCCAGAUACUGAGGGUUGACAACACGCUUUCCAACCAUUUUGGAGGGCACUAAUCGGUACAGUAACCCAUAGUUUUGAGGGAAACAGAGCCACUUUAAUUCAAAAUCCGACUAUUUGAUAUUUUCGCCAAAUAUUAGCGUGCACCAUUUUUGGCCGAGCAAAUUCUAACAAGGUGAACGAAAAAGAACUCUUCUAUUUGUUCGCCACAUUUUUGCCAUAAAAGGUGAAUAUCGUCCCGUUUAUGUUAUCUCACAUGCAAUCCAUUGUCAAUGCGAAGCGAGGGCUGAUUAUUUUUGGAGGUUUAAUAACCUCCCUAGCCAGAGUCCUAGGACUCGAAGAAAAAUUCUCCAGGCUAACCCCGCUCCCGCAUCAUGCAACUGACAUUGACAUGGCAAGGAGCAUGAAACUAGCAAAACGAAGGAGUGACGGUAGAUUUAAUUUAAUAAUUGCAAAUAAUGUCUUAAAAGAUUUCAUCCUCCCUAAUCCAAAUCGCACAGAUGUGCGUAACCCGGAUAAUUAUAUUUAUACAAAUGAUCUGGUGCCUAACCAAGUCCCCACGCACAUUCCUGAGAAUGUAGUUGCUGGCGGGGACACUGAUGAAGAUCAUAUUCCGAAGCAAACUACUCCUGCUACUGACCUACACACCACACACACUUUAUUUGAAAAUGUUGUAGGUACAUCUUCCAGUCAGAGACCAAGAAGAAAUGUGGCACCAGCCACUCUUGAUAAGAUCUAUGUUGAACUAUUGUGGCAUAGAGAAUUAGACGCUCAACGAGACCUAUAAAUCCAAACCAUGGGAGCUCAGCAAAUCCUUCUUCAAAUGCAGCAUGAUCAGCACGAAUAUGCCUUAAGGGUCGAACAAAACAUGUCUGGCUUGAUCGAUGAAAUAGCAACACUGAUAAUGCAUGUGGAAGAUCUCCAGAACUAUACGUCACCUCACAAGCCAGGGAAUGGUGGAUAUCCAUGUACACGUGGCAGAAGGCGUCAGUAGCAGAAUAAACCAGGUUCUACCAUUCUUUCCUAUCUUAUGUCAUUGCAUUGGGGACAAUGCAAGAUUUAAGUAUGGGGGAGGAAGCUUAACCGCUCUUUAUUUUACUGUUUUCUAGUUAGAUUUAUAUCAUUGCUAUUUCUUUUUGUUAUUUUAUAAUUUUUAUGGUUAUUUUAAUUUUUGUUAAAGUGUCAGUCGAGUUAAAUAUCAAUGUGUUGUCGAGUCUUUAUGCGUGAUUUCCAUUAUUUACUGAUUCUCUUGUUUACUUGAGCCAUACAAUUUUUUUUGCAAAAAUCUAGACUUAUAGAUACAGUGCAUCUUUUGAAAUAUCUGAACAAUAAAUCAAACUGAGGUUGAAUUGUAGAGAUUUGGAAAAGCUUUAUAAGAUUGGUAUCGCUUUAACACCUUAAAUAUCCCAAGUAUUAGAUCGAUUUGAGCACUUGUCAUGUCAUACCCUUAAAUUCUAUCAUUUAAUAUUUCCUUAAGUAGUUUAUCUAGCAGUCAGCACCAUCCUAAGCACACACUACACAAGAAGUCGAUGCAAAUAAGUGUAUGAUUUUCAGGCUUAAAAUAAGAAAAGAUUACAAAAUGUAUGAAAAACGUUGUUCCCUCUAAGUUAGGUGACCCUCACCCGGUCAUUUAGCUCAACGGUAUAACCAUUUUCAAAUGUUAUUUUAGCCAAAGUGCGAAAAAGAAAGAAAGAAAUAAUGAUGAGAUCAUAGUCACUAACAGACUAUCUUGCUAUGAAUGUGAAAGGAUAACGGGCUUAAUGUGAUUGCGCUAGAAUGAAAAAGGAUAAAAAUAAGGUUUAGUAAGGUAGGCUUAGGCAUGACAACAUGAUUCGGAUUGGUUUGUAUAGGAGGGAGACUUAUGGUUGCAACAUUGUGACUGAGUGUUCUAACGAUACCCUUAGUGUGGAAGUGAGUAAUAUAAAUUUGAAACAAAGUAAAGUUUAUAGACUAGAAUGAGUAUCCGAAUGCAACUAGGUUUUUUACGAGUCUUGAUAAUGUAUGUUGUAAAUAUUUUACAAAACUUUUUAUUCAUGUACGCGGCAUUUGCUUGAGGACAAACUAUAGUUUAAGUAUGGGGGAGUUUGAUAACGCGAAAAUGUAUUGUAUUUUUGGCUCUAUAUGCACUACUUUUUACUCGAUAAACACUAUUUAUUACACAAUAUUUUGUGUUUAUUUGCAGGUAUUUAUCGAUUAAAAGGUUUACCGCAAGAAAAAUGGAAUAUAGCAAAAAGGAAAGAAAAAGGCAAGAAAAGAGAAGAAAAUGAGGUUUCCAAUGGGAUAAUGGGCCACCAAAGAAAAUGGGCUUGUGGCUCCCAUUACCCAAAGGAUGUGGCGCCCGCCACAUUGGGCCAAAAUAAAGGUGGCGCCUGCCACCAACCCUUGAAAAGUGGUGGGCGGUUACUACAAGAGUGGCGCUCGCCACUCAUCAUGGAAUUAGGGUACCGCCACAUUGGGCCAAAAUAAAGGUGGCGCCUGCCACCAACCCUUGAAAAGUGGUGGGCGGUUACUACAAGAGUGGCGCUCGCCACUCAUCAUGGAAUUAGGGUUGUGGCAACCGCCACAACCGAGUCUCCCCAUUUUUCCUACUUUUUCUCCACCCUUUUAGCCACGGUUUCCACUACUAUUGCUACAAUUGAGGAAUAUGGAAUGGAUAUAAAAACGACCAUUCAGACUCUCUCUCCGGGGGGCUCUCCUCUUUUCUUCCAACUUUUAGUUUACGAUUAAUUUUUGUUCUGCUUUAUUUUUCUUUUAGUUUCUAGGCAGUUUCUUACCAUUGUAAAAGUGAUAGUUUUUCCCCAUCGGGGACUAUUACGGUUUAUUAUUUUUUUACGCAUUUUGGAUUCAAUUAUAAGGGGUAUUCAUUGCCAAAGCCUGCCGGAAUUAUUUAAUCGAAGAUUCAAGAUUGAAUUCCAGUUCUUAAAUUGCAAUCCAGGUUUAUUAUUAUUUAUUGUUCUAUUUAUUUAUGCCUUACUGUAUGUUUAAUUCCCCAAUUUCCAUGUCUGUCACCGGAUCUAUGUCCUGCUAAACCUUAGGUAUCGGUAUGUAAAGACCGUCGAAACAACGGGGUUUAAUAAAUAAUUGAUGUUAGUUUUUAUAAAACUAAUUUUUUUGGUUUUAGUUUCUUAUUUUAAUCAAACUAUUUUUCGUACAAGUGUACAAAACAAACUAAGGUUACGGUCAACAAGAACGAGAAUUUGAGGUUUUAACCAGAUAACUGAAACUAGGCAUAAAUCCUAAACACAACGAGAGUGCUUUAGGAUUAAUUAGACUUUAUCUAUAUUUAAAAAAUACUUUUAAAUUCAAAAUGAGACCGCGAGAGCCAAGCAUUCUGGUUUAGGAGUAUGGUUAGAGUCAAUAAAAACGAGAGUGUGAGACUAAGUCCUUUCUAAAAUAAAAUUCUACUGAAGAAUAUUUUAACCAAUAAGAUUACACCAACUAUCUAUCGAAUCCCCGAAGUUUGAUGUAUUACAUACCGAUAUCCCCUAUAUCUCAUAUCUUCAUCCUUAUUCUAUUUAUAUUAUAGUUAUUUCUCUUCAUCCCUCCAAUCUUAAGAACAAUCAUCAGCCUUAGAUUUACAUAGUAACAUUAUACCACGAUACGUUUGAUUAUUAGUCCUUGUGGGUUCGUAAUCUUUAAAACUACGCGAUAGGACUGUGCACUUGCAGUUAUAAUUCACAUAGACUUACUAAGUCGCGAUCAAGUUUAAAGUCAAGACACCAAGGUCUUAGAUAGUAUUAUUUGUUAUAAUAAUGUCUACAUUAAUGGUUAUUUUGUGCAAUUUUGAUUUUGAUGUAAUAUAGAAUUUUUAGUUCCUAAUGGAAUUGUGUCAUUGAUGUAAUACAAUUGUUUGUCUAAUUCAAUUCAAAAAUAGUUGUAUUGUAUUUCUAGUCUGAUAUGAUUCAAAAAUAUUUAGGUUUAAAAUUUGAUAAUAUUGUAAAAUUGAAAAAUAUAUAUAAAAAAACAAAUUAUAUCCAAUGGGUUUUUGUUCUUGCUAAAAACACUAAAAGAUUGACUUCCCCGAUGCUAGUCAAGGAGAGCCUUAAAUAAUUGUUUAAGUGUCUGUAAAUGUUUUUCUUAGGUAGUUCUUGUCCCCAUUUCCUUGUUUCUUGAUGUCCUUUAUAUAGGCUAUUUCCUCACCCUCAACAACCAUAAAGAGCAUUUUCCCCUUUCUUCCUGUAUUCAAAGCCUAGAAAUCGUUGUCGCUUUAUCAUUCAAUUUCACUUCUUAAUGACUUGUAAGACAUGUCUCAUUAUGGAGUCGUUAUGACUUUUCACUUACUGAAAUUGUUUCUAGAUGGUGUCACUUCGUCCAACCAUUAUCUUGGCUUAUCCGGGUAAAAAACCUGACGACACAAGACUCUCUACCUCGCCCCAUCAGGAUCCUCAACCCGAAAAUAUGAUGACUACUCAAGUCGGGCUAUGUCUCGGGUAUCCCUUAGGAAAGUCCAUGUAUUAGCUCUGACUAUUACCCGACUUUGACCCGAACCAUUCCUACUUCAUCACUGACUUCUUUCGGUUUUACACAUCGACUGGUCAACAUAAUAUUUUGACAUGUACAAUUUUUAACUCAACCGUUGCUAUAAGUAUAGCGUGUUAUCCAGAAUAAUAAAAGGCAAGAAUGGCGAGGCUGGAAUUCGAACCAAGGACCUAUAAAUUAUUUCACAACGGUUAAUUGAAUAAACUGUUUUUAUAAGUAGUGUUCUACUAUAAGACCCCAAUUUUGACCCUACGAUCCCUCAUGUAAUUUCAUCAUAUGCAUUAGCAUUGGGAUCAUACCUUGGCAUCCUCCUUACCCCUCUUUCAUUGGGUUUAUUUUGGGAGAGAUCACCAAGCACUAUGUGAUUGUAUCAUACUUGUAUAUCAUCAUUUUACUAACAAAAAUACCAAAAAUAUGUCUUUGCUUUUGCCUAACUCUUUGUAGGUGGGGCAUGAUCUCCAUUGAUCUAUCAAGUUCAUAUCUAGGGUUUGAGACCCUCAUGACAAAGAGCACAACCAUGAAUUAAUCCAAGAAUGGUUAUAAGCAUCAUAUAUGAGUUCCGCUGACCCUUACAUGUUAUAUUGAUCAAGUGUUCUUUAAGAGUUUGAAGGUGAUUUACCUUGGAAACCCUAGUUUGACUAGGUAUCUUGAGUAACUUCUCCAACAAGCUAUCUCACCAAUGGAUCAAAUUUCUCAAGGGACACUUAGAAAUUCAUCAUCUUUUUAUAUAUGAUCUACCAUGAGCCAAGAAAAUUAAAAGAAUUGAAAGUUAGCAAGUUAGUUGAUGGUGGUUGGUCAGAUGAAUUUAUCUGAUCAAAACUGCGUCUCCCUAGACCCUAUCUCCUACAAUAUUCACCAUAUGAAAAUGAUUCCAAGAUAAAACUUACUCUAAAUUCCAUUACAAACAACUUUCAUGUUGAGACCUAGAGCUAGUUUUUCUUGGAAAGUCAUUUUCUAUGUUGAAACAUUAUAGGUCAUGUUGUCUAAAACCUAAUUUGAAAGUCAACUUCCCAAGGCAAUAACUUGCUCAACUUUUAUGAUAUGAAAUAUUUCCAAGUUUCACAAUCAAAUUCAAGAUGUCUACUUCAACUUUGAUUUUUGGAGUGAGAGCUAAUUCAACUUUUUUGAGCAUGUGAUAUGAGGUUACAUUAUAGGUCAUUUUUGACCUAUACCAUUGAACAAGUGAUUUUUUCAAACCACAAAAAUGCAUAACUCUAUCAUUUUAAAUCCAAAUGACAUGAAAUUGGUGACCGUUUUGAAGUUAUUUGAAAGAACUACAACUUUAAUGAAGACACUGUUCUCAUUUGAAGCUCCCACAAAAAGUUAAGCAAUGUGGAAUAUUGAGGUAUAUGGCUUGACACUUAAAAAAAACUUUGACAUGUUGAAAUUUCCUAACUUCCACCUCAAAAUUCUCUAUGUUCGAAGCUACAAAUGAAAAAGUGUUGAACAUCAAACUUGUUCCCCUUGAUCCAAGAUUUUCAAAUAACCCAAGUUAAUGCAUUUUGGACAAAGAUUGAUAGGUUUGUGCAUGGGUUUAACAGGACUGCAUCAUUGGAAAGAAUCAAUUGCUCAAACUUCAGUUCACAAUGCCUUUCCAUUCAAGCUUCAUUCAGACCUCAAUCAGAAUCACUUUUGGACCUUAAUGCAUUGCAUCAUGGGCCUGUACAUACCCAUGCACUCGUGCCAUCCACAUUGCCAAUUUUGGACAGAUUUUGAAGUGUGCAAAUAUCAUUCCCUUUGGCAAUAAAUAGAAGGCCUCUGAGCUCAUUUGAACAAGACUUUGUGCGCCAGCUUUUCCCCCCAUUGAAACCCUCUCAUUCUAAAGGAAAACCUGAGAAAUUUCAAUUUGAAAUUUGAGUUUGAAUCUCAACUAUAGGAGAUUCAAGAACUCAAGGAUCCAAAACCUUGCAACCUCUCUAAUAACUUCCUGCUAGCUCCUCAAAUGUGAUCAGAUCGUGUUUGGAGCAAGCCACAUCAAGAACUGCAUAACAUUGAAGGUAAUUUUCAGAAAACUUCAUCUCUUCGAUUCUCACUCAAUUCUACUCAAUUCUCUUGGAUAUUUGGUUGUCUAAAGUCCUACCAAUGUAGGCAAGAAGAUUCAGUUGCUUAGAAGUCAAAUCGAAGCAACUCAGUUGACACACCUCAAAAUUCAACUCCUCAUAUCUUUUUAUAUAUUUGGAGUUAGUUGAAAUUGAGGUCAGAUUCGUGCUCUAUGCCAUUUUUUCUUUCAGAUCAUGUCCUCCUUUUUAUUUUGGUGAUGGUUGAGGGUGGACCAGUCCGGCGAGGUCCACCGGAGAAGAAGACCGGAGUUACAGCUCCGGCGAUGUGUUGGCAUCUCUCCAUACCACAGGAUUCUUUUCAAAUGUUUUAAUCUGACGCGUUCGUUCUGAUUACCAUCCCUGCAGCGCAUUGACUAGUGUCCAUUGUGGAACACGCACUGAGGACCACUUGAUAUGCCACCUCAAUUAAUGAGGGAGAUCAAGUGGUCCACGUUUUUUGCUAUUUUCUGAUUUUCAUUUUAAUCCUUUUAUUUUCAUUAAUUCAUAUUAAUUUUAAUAUUGAUCAAAUGAGGGAGAUCAAGUGGUCCACGUUUUUUGCUAUUUUCUGAUUUUCAUUUUAAUCCUUUUAUUUUCAUUAAUUCAUAUUAAUUUUAAUAUUGAUCCAAAAAAUAUGAGAGUUUCACCAAAAAAUUCAAAUAAUUUCCUCUGUCAUGAUUUAAUUGAUUUUGCAUUCAUUUUUAAUUGUUUAAAAUAUUUUUAAGUCUUUAAAAAUUCUGGAAUUUUGUCUCCAAGGCCCUUUGACCUUGUUUGACCUAUGAUAAAUCUCAUGGCCAUUUCAUUGGUGUUUUGAUGAGAUUUUAAGAAUUUGACAAACUAUAUUUAAUUUAAAUGUAUUAUUUUAGUCUUUUGAAUUUGAAUAAAUGUCAAUUAAUUGUGUGGACUAAUUGUGAUGACUUGUUUGAGUUUGACUCUUGUUGUUGGGCCUUGGUCAAGGUUGAAUUGACUUUUUCAAGUUAAUAUCAUUGGAUUUAGGGGACUGAUGGAAUGUACAUUUCAUCUCCCAAAAUGAAUGGAUGAUAUUAAUUUGGUAAAAGUUCUCCUUUGACCAAUUUGAGUUUUGAUCCAUUCCCCUCCCUCUUCAUCUCAUUCUCAUUCUUUAUGCAUUCAUCUCAUUCGGUCUAUCAUAUCUCAAAGUCCUAAGGCUAGUUGAUUGAAAAAUUAACAUAAGUAUGGAUGAGAUUAGACAAUCUAUUUUGCAUAUUCUUUUUGUGUGUGGUAUGUUUCAUGAGCAUAGUCCAUUAUACUUUGUCUCUAACAUGCAUUAACACCAAAAUUCUAUUGUCUGACCUCAAAUAGUUGUGACUUCUACAUAAGUCCAAUUACAAUUCCUUAACAUAGCGCUAAAUUUUUGACACAAAAGGCAUAUCAUUCUAGUUAGUGAGAUUGUAAGUCUCCCCUCUCUCAUUGUAUUGUGGGGAAACUUGGCCUUUUUUCCUUCCUUUGGAAGAUGUCUUGGUUCAAGGAUCCAUGCUUGUGAUAAGUGGGUUAAGUGUUCUUCAAAGAAUGACUUAAAAAAUGAAAAGCAAAAGCAAAACAAUACUAACUUCUAACUCAUUAACAACUAACUUUUAAUUUCAAGCCAUUUACUUUAAUGUCAUUUAAUUUUAGUUUUUAUUCAUUUGUCAUUAUUCAUACCAUUCUAAUUGUUUAUGUUAAUGCAAUUUUCACUUUGUCCAUUUGCACCAUAUUGUGUGAUAUAUCUUGUUUGUGUUUACUUUGUUUGUUUGUGUGUUAUUUGACCAUGAAUGUACAUAAUAACAACAAAAACCCUAAAAAAACUUUAGUGUGGACUGUUGGCUUGAUCUUGGACAAAUGGACUUAGAAUUUAGGCAACCUCCCUAUGCUAAAGGACUUGGCCAAUGCCAACUUUUGUGAAAUCAAAUGCUUACAAUUUGAAAUUUCAUCUGAUACAUCAUUGAAGAUACGUUUGAGUUCAUCUGCAACAUGAUCAUUGUGAAGUUGUUAUUUUGAACCUGUGACUUGUGGAAUUCAUCUGUUACAUGGGAAAAUUUGAAGAAGAUCAUGGAGUGGCUAAGCUUGGAUAUGGCUAUCUUUAUUUGAUGCCUUUACUCUUUAAGAUUGAUAUAAUUGUGCAUUUGUGUGUUGCUUGAUUCUAAAUGUCCAAGGGAAUUUGGGGUUUCUAUGUGGCAUUCUUGCCUGUUGGAUUGCUACCCAUCGGUCAGAUCUUUUCAACUCUUAACUUUUAAUUUUGUGAAUAGGGUUAGUCUCUUCAUCUUCUCCCCAUUUCUUUAAUUUCAAAAUAUCUCCCUCCUUUUUAAAUUUUCUUUGUUUGAAAUUAUUUUGUUCUAACCUUUGACCACUUUGCAAAAAGAUAGAAACUUUGGCCUUAUGCCAUUGCAUUUUCAAACUUCUUUUCUUAAAUCAAAUUUGUAAAUAAACUGAACUAUACUUGACCUAAAAUUUGAAAAAUCCAAAAAGAACUAACUCAUUCUAACCAUUUUUAGGCCUUUGUGCCUUUCAAACUUAAAUUUUCUUAAAAACAAUGCAUCCACUUUGAAAUUUGUAUCACGAACUACGAGGUUUUGAUCCCUCAUUUUUAUCUUGGUACGUAGGCACAAGUCCGAAGGUCUUGUCAAACCCAAAAAUAUAAUUAAUGAAUUAUUUUCUCAUCCCCCCAUUCUAUUUGUUUGUAAAUAUCAUUUUUGUACCAAAUACAUAUGCACACAAAAAGGGCUCCCUAGGAGUACCUAUGACAAUUUGGGUGCUAACACAUUCCCUUUAUGUAAUCAACCCCCUUACCUGUAAUCUCUGACAUUUUAUUAGUUUUGAUUUGGAAACUUCUUACUUUUGGGUUUUGUUCGUACCUUUUCCCUUUUUUCUUUGAAACAAUAAAAGCGCGAUGACAACUCUUGUUAUUUGAUCUCUAGCUUAUCUAUAGCUUGAUGAUUAUGAAUUUACCGCUACAGCUACCUAAUAUGUAACCACGGUCUCUCGCCCGUUGUGGAAACCAAUAUACAUACAAUCAUACGCUAUUUGUCAACGGACAUGCAACCGUCAUAAAAUGUGUUUCGUAACCGUCAUUAUAUGUGUUUUUCGUAAUAGUGACACCUAAAUCAACAGACAAAAUCCAUCAUGCUCUCUUCAAAGUGAUUUGUGGAUUGAUGUUUGAUUGUUAUCAGAUUGUGUUGAUAGAAUGACAGGGUUUACUUGGAUUCCCCUUUAGUAUGUCUCUUCAUUAGCGGAUUGGUUCAUGUCCGAAACACUAUUCUUUCAUAUAAGUAAUGGUUGCUAACCUUAAACUUAAAAACAAACCACUCUAAUUUUUCUUAAUUAAAAUUCAAUACCCAACUCUAACGUGGAUCACUUUUAAAAUUUGGUUCAUAUAGUAUAUGAUAGCAAUUAACAAUAUCACGAGUAUCUAAAUUAAACUCUGAUCUAUGCAUGAAGAAAUGUUGUUGUUAGGUUAACAGGUGUCCUUUCUUUACACUACUUUAAAUUUUAUGCAUGCAUCACUUUAUAUAUAAUAUGUGAAACCCACUAACGAUACGCAAGAAUAAAUAUUAAUUUUAAUAGCCUUAAACUUUUGCAAAGGAGGGGACAAAAGUUAAUAUUCUCACAACUUUUGUACAUCACUUUCUCCCACCGAACACAAAAGCUAAAUAGUGUGUGCUUUGUAUAUACAAGAUAUGAACAAUGUUUCUUAAUAUCAGUGGCUAUCGAACAUUAUUACAAAAAAUUAACAUAAACAAUUUUGAUUCCUUGCUAAUUCACUUUCUAUGAAAUUGGCUUUGAAAGCACCAAGGAACACGUUAUAGGUCGAGAAAUGGCUUUGCACUUUUAUAUCCACAUAUCUUUUUAUGCCAAAAUAAGGGGUAUAAAGAAAGGUUGUUUGUCGGUUUUAUGCCACACAUGCAUCUCCAUUCACAUAUCGGAAGCAACAUUGUCGAUUAAGCAUAAUUAAUCAAUUUCUAUAUCAAUAUAUGUGGAUUGGUCAAAGGCACGGAAAGCUCAAUCCAAUCCACAUAAACUCAAUUCAAAGUUUGAUCCAAUGCUCAAUUCGCUUUAUGAGAUUACCACGGAUCCGCUCAGGUAGACCCAUACCACCUAUCACCACACAUGAGCAAACCUCAUUUAUGAUUAGAAUCGUUGAAUUUCUCACUCCACAUUAGAUGAGACAAUUUUAACACCCUUCUUAUUUAAGGGUUGACUCACACUCAGAUACGAUGCAAUUCAUAAUUGCAAAAUUCCAACUCAAUUUCAUACUGAUUUAAGUGUGGUAGUACUAACCUUUUUUAUAAGUAUCCUCUCUAAUUAUUAGAGAACUGUCACUAUCACAUUAAAAGCAUCUUUACAUCGGUUUUUAUUAACAACCCAGUCAUUCCCUGUUUACUAUUGAAUACUUUUCUUUUUGGUUAGUGUUUAUUUAUUAUAUUUAGAUUGUUAUACUCUAUAAAAAUAGUAUCUUUUUCAUUCGUAUAAAUGAAUUUGGUGACUCGAGUUAUGCACAAAUUGAGUAAAUCAAAAAUUGCAUGUAUAAGUGUGAUUCAAAUCAUAAGAUCUCCUCAUUCGAAUAAGAGAAAAGUUUGAUUGGAAUCACAUAAGAGUUUGAUUUAAAUCAUGAAUGAGCAUAUAAUUUUGAUUUCAUUUAGGCUGAUGCGACUAAUCAAAGAUUCUCUUUAUUAGAAUCACGUGACUCUGAUCAAGGAUGCAAAUAUAUGAAUUUUUAUGUUCUUGAAUUAACUCAUUUCUUAUUUGAUCCGAAUCAUCAUUUUUUCUCUUGACUCGAUUAAAAAGGUCAGAUUUUACUCAUUUAUAGUUAAUUUCUCUAGCACAUCUAAAAGCCAAAUACUUUUUAUCUUUACAUAAAAUAAAACCUUUCAAAAUUUUGUGCAUUUCUUACAAAAGGACUUUUGUAUACUCAUUGAAAUUUCUGAAACACAACUUUAUCUCUCAAAUUAAACUUCAAGAAAAAUUUCUCUUAUGUUGAAUUCAUGAGUGUUCUAACAAGUGUAUAUGAAAUUCUUUCUAAAAUUCAUCAUCUUCAAUCUCUAGCAAAAAAAAUCAAUGGUGUGUGUUUUGAUUUCAAUUCUAAGAACUGGGGUGUUCAGAUCUAGUGUGAAGAGGUUCAUUAAUGUUCUAAUGUCCUAAGAAGUUUUCUUUUCAGAUUGAAGAUUGUGUGUGCAUGUGUAUGUAUGCACGUGCACGCGUGUAUGUGUGUGUGUCGUUGUUAUGAAUAUUGAUAUCCAUGAAAAAAAAGAGUUUCUUUUCAAAAUUAAAAUUUUAGUAGGAACAAGUUAUGAUCGUUAUGGACAAAAUUUUGGAGUUUCUGGUUCCUAUAUCAGUUCUAAGAUUCAGACUAGGGAAAUUUUGGUAGGAUCAAGUGAAGAUCAAUACGGACAUGAUCUUGAAGUUCUUUGGUUUUGAGAGGAUGAACUGUUUUAAGGUCGAGUGAAAUUCUUGGGAAGUUUGCAGCUUAGUAAGUUGUCUUCAACAAAAAGAAGAAUCAAGACUCAUAUCUGAGUAGCUUAAUAGUUUAAUUAAGUUUCCAUUUUUACUAUGAUUAUAUGUUUUAACUAAAAGACACUUGUGAUUCCCAACAUUAGUGUAAAACUAACACAUUGGAUACUGGAUUAGGGGCAAGUGAGGAUUGUUGGGAGAGAAUAUGAGAAUUAAAUGGUCUAGAAGGGGGGAGUUUAAUAGACCUCCUUAAAAAUUUGAUUGAUUAAAAACUUGUUUAUUUCAAAAAAGAGCAGAGUUUAAAAAAUAUUUACGCGAUAGAAAAAUGUGCGUAAAAUAUCUAUACUUUAGGAAAAAAUACACAUAAGACUUAAUCAAUAUACAAAAUUGAAAGUAGAUGAGACAGGUAACCAAAGUAGUCAAUACAGUUUAUUGAAUUAUCGUCAUUUUGCACGAGUUGUGUAAAUGAAUAACUUCAAUACAAUGAGAAUUAUAGAAUUAUUGUCUCAAGUUUUAAUCAACAAAAAUAAUGAUUUGAAGUCUCAAUCUAAUAAAACAUACACUUAUGAUUGAAAUUGCUAUUAAUGCAAUAAACCUAACUACGUAUGAUUAUAAAAAAGAAAUAAACCUAACAUUUACCUAUACAUAAAACUAAAAAAGAUAUGGAUAGAGAUGAUUGCACUGGGGCUUAUACUCGUUCAGUGUUUUUUCCCUCUCUUGUGCUAAAUCCAGUCUCAAAUUAUUUUCCAUUGAAAACUUGAUGUUCUUCCACUAUGAUUUUGACAAAUUUUACUAAGUUGCUUAGUAAAAUCACAAUUUUAAUAAUUCUAAAAAUAAAAAAUCUUCAAUCUGAAUCCUUAUUGACUUGUAAACAUUAUCUAACACCGAGCUCUUGCGAAAUCUUCACUUGAAAUUAACUUAAAUCUUUCAGCUCCAAGUCUUUGUUAUGCAUUGAUUUUUACUCAAUCGUAUUGGUAUCUUAAUCCAUGUCUUGUCUUGAGAUGAGAAAAACUUCAACUUUGUGUGUAGGCUUUAACACAACUCUACCAAAGCAAUUAUGGAGAGAAGAAACUCCUUUUUUUCCGCUGGAUUUAUCCACUCCCCACAACGAAACACAUAAUUGAAAACCCCUGAAUUCCUCAAGAAAUCUUCAAAGAAAACGUUAAUCAAGGAUCCUCCUAACAAAUCUCACACCCUAAGAUGAGAGUUAUAUCUAAACAAAAAUGGAUGAUGCAAGUGGCUGAAGAUGAAGAGAUUUUGUUUGUAAAACUCAAAACAAGAUUUAAAACUCUUCUGAAAAUUUAGAGAACACGUGUAUUGUGAGUUCUAAAUAAAAUGUGGAUGUAUAUAUUUUUCAACAUUGUGAAUGGGUUUUGAGAAAAAAUUGUUUAUACAUGUGUUGGAGAUCUAGCACAAAUAUGAGAUAAAAAUGAUGUUUGAUUCGAGUCAUAAGCAAAGAGUAAGAGAUGAGUCAAUAGAUCAAGUGAUUUAAAUCAAGACCCAAUAACUAAGAAAAACUAACUCCGUUAUUUUAGUCAUGAUUUAUGUGAUUUGAGUCAAGAAACCUCUUAUCACAUUCAUUUAAUCAAAAUCUAAAAACUGCUAAUUGUGUUUAAUUUGAAUCAAUGACUCUUUUGUUCAAUUUAAACAUCUUUGAUUUGAUUCAUAGAUUGUUAUGAUUCGAACCACACUAAUAUAAGUAAAUGUUUUUUUUCAUAAAUGUGAUUGAUUUGAAUCAGAAAAUCUACGUUUCGAAUCAUGAUAUCACAUAACUAACUCCCUGCAAUUUUAUAACUCUGAUUUAAAUCAUGUAAGCUUGUGAUUCAAAUCACACUUCUAGAACCUUAAUUUUUGUAAAACACGAAGUGUUUUUUUUCAGAAUCCAAACUUGUCAUGACUUUAACCAUUUUUAAAUGCGGUUCUCGAUUUAAAACUUUGAAAAAUUGACUAGAAGCAUAUUUCUCAGGCUAUAGUCAAACAAUUUUAUUUAUACAUGCAUAAAAAUGGAUUAAGAACUCAAUCUUAGGAUGCACAAUCAUGUGAGAAGACUCAAUGAUAAUAAAAAUAAAAAUAAAAUCUAAAUAACAAGCAACCAAAUACAAACCCUUAGAAGGCAAAGGCAACUUCAAGGAUGACACACCCAACUGGUAUAAAUAUUGGUGCCCAGUUGUCUAUGUCACUCUCUUUUAAAUAUUUGUAUAUUUUUCUUGCUCAUAGGUUGAUUAUCACUUUCUAGCAUUGUUUAAUUUUAAGGCUUUAUCGUCUCCUAGAAUUGUAUGUUUUAAUUUUAUCCUUUUGUGUUUUAAUGUUUAAGCUUAGGUUUAUGUUAGAUCUUGUUUGGUAAACAUUCUUUUUGCUGACUAUAUCUGUAAAAACAUAUAAUAUUAGAUUAUCUUUCGAUUAGUAAAAUUCCAUUAAAAAAAUCUUAUUACGAAUCAAAAUCAGUUAAUUAAACAUUAUAGCGGUAAGUUCAUGACCACUGAGCUAUUGGUUAGCUAAACGUCAAUAAAACAAGAGUCGUCACCACACUUUUAUUCUUUCCAAAGGUAAAGGGAAAAGUACGAACAAAAUCCAAAGAUAAGAAGUUUUUAAAUCAAAACUAAUAAAAUGUCAGAGAUUACAGGUAAGAGGGUUGGUUACACAGAGGGAAGGUUUUAACACCCAAAGUGUCCUAGGUACUCCUAGGGAGUCCUUUUUUGUGUGCAAGUGUUUUUGUUAAAAAAAAUGUUUGUUGAAAAUUGAAUGUGGGGAUGAGAAAAGGAUUCAUUUAUUAUAUUUUUUGUGUUUGACAAGACCUUCGGUCUUAUGCCUACAUACCAACAUAAAAAUGAGGGAUUAAAUCAUCGUAGUUUGUGGUAAAAAUUUCAAGAAUGGGUGGAUUAAUUUUAACAAAAUCUAAAAUAUCUUUUGUUAUCAAUGGGAGAAAAGUCAAGCAAACACCCACCAAUAAUGAGGGCUUUACAACUUUUAAGAGGGAGGGCCCCAACUUGGAUUCAGUCAACAAGUAUGCCAGUAACCCCUAAUAAAUGGAAAGACUUACAAUCAAUAUAUCAUGGAAUGGGAUAAUUAUAUCUCGACCAAAGAUAACUCAAAUCUAAAUACUUUCUUUUGAAAAGUUUAAAAGAAAAAGGCACAAAGUGGCCAAAAUGAUUAGAUGAGGUUGUUAGUUCUUUUUGGGUUUUUAAAAUUUAAGCCAAUAUGAUUAAGUUUGUUCACAAGUUUGAUUAAGAUAUAUUUUUAAAAUCAAUCGCAUAAGGCCAAAGUCUUUACUCAUUAAAACAAGUUUAGGUUAAAAACACAAACAAAGAAGGUUUUUGAAAUGAGGGAGAGAUUUUUGAAUUUAAAGAAGGAGAGGAGGAUAUGAAGAGACUAUCGUAGACAAGAUUUAAAAGUUUAGAGUUGAAAAGAUCUAACCAAUGGGAUGCAUCCACAAGACAAGAGUGUUAGAUAAAAACCUAUAUCCUUUGGACUAUUGAGAAAGCAACAAGCAUAAUCAUCCAAGAAAUUAAUAAGAAGAUAAAUUGGUAUCAAAUAAAGAUAACCAAACAUCCAAGAAAGUACUCCAAAAGCAAGCAGUCUUCAAUGUCCUUUAAAUGUGUCAAAUAUCCCUUGUAGCAAACUCAUAGAGACAAUAAUUAGAUAGAAAUAAUAAGAUAAAUAAAUAACUUAAGCACAAAGACAAAGUAAUAAAUAAACCAAUGGGGUUCCCAAGGCUUGUAUCAUAUGAAUGGCAUUGGCCAAUAAAGGUCUCAAAUCAAUGGCAUUGGCCAAGUUCCCUUCAAAGCAUAGGGAUGUUGCCCAUUCUAGGUCCAAAAGUUCAGAUCAAGUCUCAAACAGAGGUCCAACAAUCCACCAAUUUAUUUCUUAGGGUUUUUGUUGUUAUUUAGUAUUUUAAGGUCCUAAGACCACAAACAAAACAAAAUCACAAGCACACAAUAUAAUACAAGCACAAAAUAUGGCUCAAGUGAGCAAAGUGAAAAUCACUGAAACAUAAACAAAUUGCAUGAAUGUAAAUGACAAUCAAUGAUAAAGUACAAGAAUUUAAAUUGCAUUAAAGUAAAUGACAUUAAAAAUAAAUUCAAUACAAAUAAAUGUUAGUGAAAUUUUAGUGGAAGGAGCAAUUGUUUAAGUCAAUCUUUGGAGAACACUCAACCACCUACUCACAAGCAUGAAGAUAUGAACCAAGACAUCAUCCAUGAGAAGGGCUCGAACUUGGAUGAAUCAAUAAGUAUGUCACUAGCUCUCACAAAUGGGAAAGGGUUAAAUUUUCACACAAUACCAUGAGAAACGGGAGACUUACAAUCUCACUUACAAAAAUGUUAUGCCUUUGGGACAAAUUUAGCUCUAUGUUAAGCAAUCGUAAUUGGACUUCUGUAGAAGUCACAACUAUCUAAGGUCGAGAAAUAAAAAUAUUGGUGUUAAUGCAUGCUAGAGACAAGGUACAAAGAACCAAGAUCCUAAAGCAUACCACACACAAAAAUAAAAUGGGAUGGGCCUAUCUCAAUCAGACUCAUAUUGAUUCAUCUGGCACAAGGUCAUUGGUGAAUCAACUAGCAUUUGAUUUGUUGAGAAAUCAUUGGCUAUGGAGGGAAUGUGGAAGAAGAGAUAUGAAGAUGAGAAGGUGAAGUGAAAUAGAAUCCCAAAUUGAUCAAGGGAGGAACUUCAUCUGAUCAAUACUAUCCAUUCAUCUUGAGGGAUGAAUUUUACACUUCAAUAACCCCUUAAAUCCAAUAGUAUUGAUCAAAUUGGAGCUCAAAUCAACCAAGAUCAAGGCCAAAUAGAAGAUGAAACAACACAGGGUCAAUCAAAUAGCUCAAUAUAAUUUUAAAGAAAUUAAUCAAAUUAAAAUCAAUUUUAAAAUGAAUAAAUAUUCAUUUAAAAAUGGGAAAACCUCAAAUACCUUCAAAUCACCAAAUAAAUGGCCAAGGGAUUUAACCUAAGUCAAACAAGGUCAAACGACCUUAGACAAUUUAUUUUGGCAUUUUUUAAAAGUCAUAAGUAUUUAAAAUCAAUUAAAAACAAGUUAAAAAAUUCACUAAAAAUAUCAAAUCCAAUCCAAAAAAUAAUUUUAAUUCAGAAAAUGGAAGAGAAAAUUAUUUGAAUUUUUUUGGUGAAAGUCCCAUAUUUUUUAGACAAAAAUUGAAUUUAUAAUAAAUUUAAUAAGAAAAUGACAUUUCAAAAAUUAAAACAGAAAAUUAAUUAAAUCCAAAAAACAAGGGCUAUCAGAUCUCCCUCAUUAAUUGAGGUGGCAUAUCUGAUGGCCAUGUGUAUCAUGUCUAUGAUGUUCCAAGGCCAACGCGUGUGUACACAUGGUAUGCAAGAUCAACGGAUGGGAUUAUAACGUGGCCAUGUGAUCAAACGGCUUGGACAGGGCAAACGCAUCACUGUAGCCCUAGCUUCGGUCGUCUUCUCCAGUCACCUUCAUCGGACUGGUCAGGACCAAAACAUCACCAAAAUUAAUGGAUCAUAUAUCAUUUUGAAGAGAAAAUCAUGAGGAUCUCGAAUUUGACCUCCAAUUUCUCCAACUCUCACUAUAUAAAAAGAUAUAUGGAGUUGAGAAAUGACGUAUGCAAACUGAGUUGGUUCGAUUUAACCUCAAAGCAACUCAAUCUUGUUGCCUACAUUGGUAGGACUUCAACCAACCAAAAAUUAAUCAAAAAGGUGGGGAAUGAGAGAGAAUCAAAGAAGGAAAGUUUGAGAAAUUCCACCUUCAAUUUGCAGUGAUGAAGAUCGAUCUCGAUUCCAAUCCACUUGGCCUUGCUUCUUCUUACUUAUAGGAGAUAAUUCAAAUGAAAAUGGUUGUGAACCCUUGGAGUUUUAGCUCUCAAACAGAAUUUGAACUAAAACUCGAUUUCAAUGAAAUCUUCAAGGUUGUUCUUUCAAUAGAGGUUAGGGGGAUUGCAGAGCAGAGUUUGGGCCAGGAUCCUGCAAUGUUGAGGCAAUGGCAAUGUAUUUAUAGCCUCUUGAAUUCAUUUCCACAUCAUUCAAAAAAUUGGCCAAAAAUAGCAAGUUGUGUGCAUCGGCGCACGAGAAUGCAUUUAGGACCAAACAAUUAUGUGAUCCACUUCCAAAAUUCAUGUAAAAUUGAUGUUGAAGUCAUAUCAUGGAAGCAUGCAAAGGAGAAUAACAUUUGAGUUCAAAAAUUGCCAAAAUAUACCAUCUUGAGGAACCAUGCACAAGUCCCUCAAAUUUGAUCCAAAUGUAACGAUCUUGGACUCUUUAGAAAGAUACCAUCAAGGGGAAAAACGUUUAUUUUGGGAUUGUUUACAUUUGAAGCUUGGAUAAUAAUUCAUUCUGACCUUAAAGUUGGAGGAGUCAAACAUACUUGAAAAUUUUCUAAGUUAAAAGUCAAAUGACCCCUUUUUCCACCUUGAAUAACUUUUGCUAUGAGCUUCAAAUGACUUUGGUUCCUUCUACAAAGUUGUAUCUAUUUCAAUUAUAUUCAACUUAGUCACAAAUUUGACACCAUUUGGAUCUUGCAUGAUAGAAUUAUGGAUUUCAGAAGUUGAGGAAAAAUGCAUGUUCAAUGAUAAUGGUCAAAAUGGACCUAUAAUGUUUCCUCAUGGAACAUGCCCUUGCAUGUAGAGUUUGACAUUUCUCAAAGAAAAAAAGUUUAAAAAGAUAUCUUUAAACUAAUCAUGAAACUUUUAUCAUCUUCAUAUCAUAACAAUUUAUGAAUUUAUGGUUCUUGGAAGUUGACCUUCUAUCUAGGGCACAGACAAAAUGACCUAUAAUAUUUCACCAUAAAAAAUGACUUUCCAAGAAAACAUAGCUCUUGAUGCCAACAUGAAAGUUAUUUUAAAUUCAUAAAUAUUAACUUUUAUCUUGGAAUUAUUUUCAUAUGAUACAAAUUAUAGGAUAUAGGAUAUAGGAAACCCUAGAUUUGACUAGUUGACUUUUCUGAUCAACCUCCUUGAACCAACUUGCAAACUUGAAGUUAAUUUGCUCUUUAGGGCUCAUGGAGGAUAAUAUAUGCUUAUGAUUAAGUAAAAUGGAGUAUCCCUUGGUAUAGUUGACCAAAUGUUGAAGAAAAUUAUUGAGGAAGGCACACAAGAUACCUAGAUGAAUUAGGGUGUCCUUGACAAACAAGCUUCAAACUCUUGGUGAAUUAUUGAUCAAAAUGACAAAUAAAGAACACGGGGAUAUAUAUAUGAUGCUUUGAACCAAUGUUUACCUUUUCUAACUUGAUUCCUUGCAUUGAGGGCCUCAUACCCUAGUUGUAAGCUUGAUGAGGCACAAGUGGAUACACACACUACCUACAAAAAGAAACAAAGCUACACAAGACAUAUAUUUUGGUAUUUUGGUUAGUAAAAAAAUAAAUUAAAGUACGAUACAAUCAAAAAUUUAAGGUGAUAUCUCCCAAUGCAAACCCAAUGAAUGAUAGGUGAGGAGGAUACCAAGGUGUGAUCCCAAUGCUAAUGCCAAAUCAUGAUAUGGCAUGAGGAGUCUUAGGGUCAAAAUUGGGGUCUUACAUGCAUUGUUUGUUACUAAAUUCCCUAGUUUAUUUUUCAUUAUAUUUUUCAAACAUUAAGCAAUAUGUGUAUUCUGUCUUUAACGCAUAAAAAAAGUUACAUUCUUGCGCAUUUUGAAAACUCUAAUUUUGAAAACAUUUUUGAAAGAAUAUUUAUCAGGAGAAGGUCUACUCAACCCUUUUAUAGAACAUUCUAAUCUUAUAUUCAAAUCAACAGUUGACUUAUAAAGCUGGUGUUUUGAUCGUGUAUCACGACUUCAAAAGUUGUUAAUAUAGGAAAGGGAGAUUUGGAAGGGGCAUAAAAUAGAGCACCUAAAUUCUAUGGAGUAGACUAUGCAUAUUUGAAAGAUUUCAUGUUUUUUCAUUUAAUUUCAAUAGAUAAAAUGCUUUUGUUUAUUGUUGAAGAUAGUCCUUUUGUCCUAAUAUUUUUUGGACCUAUGUGCUUGCAAGAGUGAAGUUGAUGAUCCUGAUGUUGUCAACCAUCUUGAUGUUUUGUGACAACAAUGUUGAUGAUUGUUGAAGUUGGUGAUGAUGUCCUUCCAAUUAUUUGAUAAUGACAAUUAACUUGAAGAAAUCUUAAGCCUCAUCAAGUAGGAGGUUCAAGGUUCCAUUGUUGUCCGUAUAUGAUCAGUGUAUUUGGAAAAGGAGCUUGAUUGGGAUUUUUUAACAGUUUAAUCGAUUAAAUUAUAUGCCUAAUAAAUUAGAUGAUUCCAAUUCAAGUAUAUAAUCGAUUAUGACAAUCUCUUAAUGACUGUUAAUGUCUCUAUAUCAAAAUAUUCCUUUUUGGGUCAUAAUAAUCAAUUAUUAUAUGCACUUAAUCAAUUUGCCAAAUCGAUUACACCAUUAAUUUGGCACAUGGAUUGUUUCCAUUUUUAGCCAAAUUGUUUCCUUUAUAAAUGAGACUUAUCCUCACUUAAUUUCACACUAGAAUUUGGAUUUUUCUAAGUCUUUAUAAUCUCUCUCUCUCUAUCUCUAUCUCUAUCUCUCUCUCUUGUCCCUCUUUAAAUGUUUUCUUUCAACAAUGUUCCCUUAGUACAUUGUGGGUGAAAACUACUUGUGAGGAUAUAAUUAUAUUGGUAUUAUGCCACUAUUGUUAUUUUCAAUAGUGAGUAAGUGUUGAAUAUUUGAGUUUGGUUCUUGAUAUCAACCAUUGAGAAUUGUUUUUUUUAUAGAACUUAGCUUGCAAAAGUUUUGUUCAGUUAUUGAGAUCAACCGAUGAAAUCUCUACUCAGUUCAUGAGUUCAUCCUGUGGAAAAGCUCUCUUUUAUUUUGGGCGAUAAGCUAGUGUAAAAUCUAUUGAUUCUAUUAUAUAAAAUGUUGAUGGGCAUAAUCUAUAAACUCUCAAUAUUAUUUUAAAAUUUCAAGAAUAUCUCUUGGGGACAGGACCAAAACAACGUUCGACCGAACCUAGAUAACUCUUUGGUGUCAUCUCUUUAACUCUGUCGCUUUUAAUCAUGUUAUGUAGCUGGAUACUUUAUUUACUUUCCACUGCUUUUUCUCUCUCUAAUUUUGUGAAUACUAACACAAUUUUCUUCUUAGUUAAUAAAACCUUAGAAUUAAUCACGAAUUUUGAAUACCACAAUUCCCCCCCCCCCCCCCUCUUUUGCAUGGAAUCACUUAUCCAAUAAGUGGCAUGAGAUCCUAACUCAUUUUUAAGACUAAUAUUCCUAGGAGGAAAAUAAAUUCAAGGUAUUAACUAAACAAGUUUUCAUCGUUUAAUGGAGAAGGGUGUAGUUUGUGGAAAGAGAAAAUGAAGUUUUUCAUAGAAGAGAUGGAUCAUAGUAUUUGAGUUGCUGCGAAGGAAGGUCUGAUUUUUCCUACACAUAAAUUUAAUGGUGUUGUAGUACAUAAACCGGAAAAGGAUUGGACUAAAUAAGAUAAGAAAAUGUGGAGCGCAAUUUAUAGGAAAAAAUUGUCAUCAUUAUUGUUCUUGAUCUUGAUGAAUUUUUGUAAGUUUCUCACUAUGAGACUACAAAUAAAUGUGGAAUAUCCUCAUAAUUGCCCAUGAAUAAACUAUUCAGGUUAAGAGGUUAAGUUUGGGGACAUUAAAUCCCGAGUAUAAACUUUUUAUAAUGAAACCGGAAGAGAACAUAAAUCAAAUGAAAACACGGUUUACCUAUAUCGUGAGUCAUAUAAGAAAUAAGAAAUUUGUUGUGAAAUUUCUCAGAUGCUUAAACCGUAGUUGGAAAUCUAAAGUCAAUACAAUUUAUGAAUAUUGAGAUCGAGUAACCAUGGACACACAAUUACACUUUCUUUGGUAAAUUAGAGGAACAUGAGAUGAAGCUUAAGAGACUUGCUGAUGACGAGAAAGAUGACAAGAAGAAGAGGAAAAGUUUUGAACUUAGAUCUACUAACAUCAAAGAUAUGGAAUCAGAAGAUGAAGACUGUCAAAAUCAGAGAAUAUCCAAGAACCCGUAAAAAUAAGUUAAGAGAGCCUACAUAUUUUGGAUGGUAAUGAUGUGGAAUCCUCUAACUAGGAAGAAGCAAACAUGCAUCUCAUGGAAAAUCGUUAAGAAGAUGAGGUAACCUUUUAUUUUUUUAUAAAGACUUGACUUGUUUCACAUAUGUAAAAAUCUAAAUAAAGAAAUAAGUAAAUUAGAACAAAUUGUUUGUACCACCAAAUACAUCAUGUUUUCCCUCGAACAGGAAAAGUCAAAACUUUUUGGAAGAAAUAGAAAGUCUUAAAGAGAGACAAGUUGAUCUAACUCAAAACUCCUUAUUUUCUCAUAAAGUCUUAGAUAAAUCUAUCAGGUGUGAUUAAUGUAACAUUUUGAAAAAGAAAAUUGAUGAUCUUCAAAACACACUUGGUAAAUUCACUAAAGAAAGAGACGACUUAUAUCUUUUGUUAAGUAACCAAAAGGCUCCUUAUGAUAAGGUUGGUUUUGAUUAUGAACCUAAGAACAAAAAUAAAAGAUUUAGAAAUAUGAAUGUAAAAAGAGAAAAAUGUAUUCUCAUAAUAUGUAUUCCACUAACAUCAAAGGACCAAAAAAGAUAUGGAUACCAAAGGUCGAAAAGUCAAAUUAUUAUGCAAAUGUGCUUGAUAACUUGAUUUAAAAAGAUGAUAUCGAUAGUUUCUCUUCAAGUCAUACAACUGAAGAAACAAAUAUGUUCUCUUAUCUCACUACUACAAAGAGAUAAGUUUAUUCACAUAAUAACUAUAAGGAAAAAUCAUUGAAUCUGUGAUUUUUUGCAAUAUCCCUAAUUUUAGCAAUAAUUGAUUAAAUAUUUUAUAUCACAAGUUACUUAGUAUUAAGUAAUUUUUAUAACAAAGAUAAUAAAUAAUUUCUUCUAUUUUCAUGGUUAAUAAAUCCUUUAAAUACAACCAUCUUCCUCUUUUAAAAUGUCCUCUCAAAAAGACCAUGAUUAUAGAAGAACUCACAUAUUACCUUUGUUGAAUUAACCCCUAGUAGGUAGAAGUAAAUAUCGUUAAUUGUGUAGGUAUCUUGGAAAAAACAUCUCUAGAGGAUGAAGAUAAAUAUCAAGAAGUAUAACAUGAUCAAGAUAAAGUUCAAUAUCAAAUCAUAAGUAAAGAAAAUUCUAUAGAUAAUCAAGAUCUUCCGAAGGAAUAAAGGAUGACCAAAAACAUCCUAUUUAUUAUGUAAUUUGUGAUAUCUCUAAGGGGAUUAUUACUUGACACUCUCUUAACAAGUUAUGUAACCUUAUGACCUUUUCUUCAAAAAUUGAGCCAAAGGAAAUUGAAGAAGCUAUCUUUGACAAAAAUUGGUCUCUUGCUAUGGAAGAAGAGUUUAAUCAAUUUGAAAGAAGCAAAAUUUGGGAGCUUGUUCUCAAAGAUUUAGCUUAUAUAAUGAUUGAAACCUUUAUUCUUUUAGAAAUAUUUUGAGGAAUAAAAUAAGACUCGUUGCAAAAGGUUACAAUCAACAGAAAUGCAUAAAUAUCGAUGAAACUUACGCUCUUGUAACUCAAUUAGAAGCCAUAAGAAUGAUUAUAUAUUGUUCAUUCAUUAUACGUUCUUAAACUCUCCCAAAUGGAUGUAAAAAGGAUGUUUUUGAAUGGUUACAUUCAGAAGGAAGUAUAUCAUCCUCCCAAAUUUAUAAAACCUUUCAUAGUCAUGCUUUUAAAAUGAAAAAGUCUCUCUACAAUCUAAAACAAGCUCAUAGAGCUUGGUUUGAUACAGUGAGCAAUUUUCUCCUUGAAAACAAGUUUCUAAGAAGGAAGGAUGAUACAAUUCUUUUUCAAACUGAGCAUUUUUUCUUGUGCAUAUUUUUGUCGAUUUGGUGCUACCAAAGAAUUCAUGGGAAAAGACGUUUCUAAAAUGAUACAUAUUAAAAUUGAAACAUGGGAAAGCUUCGGUACUAUCUUUGCUUACAAAUUCAUCUAUUAGAGGAAGCACCACUACGAACCAGUCAUACAACUUCAGUUGGUGAAGUGUUUUUAUAACUCUUUUCUGGGAGAUGUAAAGAAGCAUGUCAUGAAAAGUUCAACACUUUUUCCCAUCGAUUGAACAUCUAACCCAUGGGAAUUUUUUACUGGUCAUUGGUUUGAUCCCCAACAACAAAAAUUUUAUUUUCAUAAAAACAUGCUACUUUUCCUGACGGUUGUUAAAUUACCUAAGUUAAUACACACACACACGCACACACACACACACGCACAUACACACACACACACACACACACACACAAAUAUAUAUAUAUAUAUAUAUACAUAUAUAAGAAAUGGCAGCCUAAUGUGAUUACUAUAAAAGUUUAGACAUUUCUAAUCUAUUUGGAAAGCUUAUAGAACAUGAACACGAGUUCAAGAGACUCGAAGUAAGGAAGAAAAUAUGGGGAAAAAGGUUAAGGAGGAAAAGAGAAACAUCUCCUUAAAAUUCUCCACUUUCAAGGCUAAGGUAGAGGAAGAUGAAGAUGGUACCAAUGGCGAUUCUUUGAAAGAAUGAGAAAUGGGUUUGUUCCUAAAAUGUUACAAGAAGUUCAUAAAGAGAAAGUUUCUAAAGCAUUUUGAUAAAAAUUUGGUAAAGUUCAGAAAGUUUAACCCAUCAACGAAAUGGACAGAUAGGAAGAAAGAGCAAAGGAAAGUGAUCUAUUAUGAAUGUGGUGAAUCCACGCACUACAAUACUACUUUUCUAAUUUUAAAUAGGCACAAGAGGAAGCAAUCAUUCUACAUGAAGAAGGUCCAUAAAGCUAAAAGCCGUAGAACCUGUAUUUUUUGGGAAGAAGAUGAAGAAUCUUACUCCUACAACUCAAGUUCAUAUGAAGAUGAUUUGGCUCAUAUGGGCUUAAUAUAACGUCGUAAAGAAAAUACAAGGAGGUAUGUGAUGCAGACUCACAUUUUAAGCCUUCGUAUAAUGAGCUAUCGAAUGUUUUUCAAUAAAUGCAUGUUGAAGCAUUAAAUGAAAAAGAUUUUAAAACUUGAGGAAGAAAUAUUAAAUAUUUAAAAUGCUUUAUUCCUUGAAAGAGAAAUACGUGUCUCUUUUUAAUGAUAUGUUACAUAUAUCUAACACUUAGAAGAAAAGGGUGAUGUAGUUGAGUAUGAUACUUGUCCUAGUUUAGAACUUGAAAAUGAAAAUUUGAAAUGAUAAAUAACACAUCUCUAAAAUUCACUUAGUAUUAAUUCUAUUAGUUCAUGUGAAGAAAGGCAAAGUUUAAGAAAACCAUUUAAAGUUGCAUAUCUCACUAUAAAUAACGGAAGGAGUAACUCUCCUAAAGUUUUUUGUAAUUUUUAAGUAUAAAAAGGGUCAUAUUAGGCCUCUGUGUCACAUUAUAAAUGUAAAGGUCCCAAAAGGUAUAAUGAUAUGGAUUCCUAAAAGUAUUAAUACUAACCCCCAAAGACCCAACACAAGUUGGGAACCUAUAUUACCUCGUUAAUCAUCUUGGUGGAAUGUCUUAGCGCUACAAAAAGAAUGCAGUUUCUAGAUAGUGAUUGUUUAAGACAUAUGACGGGUGACACGCUGAUUUUAAUUGAUUUUAUGCAUAAAGAGAAUGGCCAUCUCACCUACGGAGAUAACAAAGGAGGUAAAAUAUCAGAUGAAUACUUUUUGGAAAUCCUUCCAUAACCACCAUUGAAAAUGUGUUGUUGGUUAAAGGGAUUAAACACAAUCUCUUAAGCCUUCAUCAAUUUUACGAUAAAUGAUUCUCUAUAACUUUUGAAACCCUAGGUUGAGUGAUUUAGCAUAGGUUGAUAAGAAAUAGGUGUUUAAGGCUUCUUGAGUUAAAAGAAUCUAUAUUCUUAGCUUAGGCGAUGGAUCAAAGAGUGGUACCAAAUGUUUAGUCACCUGGAGUGAAGACUCAUGGUUGUGGUGUAGGUGUUUUGGCCAUAUCCACUUUAAUCAACACAAGAUCAAUUUAAACAAGGCGUCUAAAUGGAAUUCUAUUGACCAAUUGAAUCCUUAUAACAUUAUAUAAACAAACAAAUUCAACUGCAACAAAUAUAAUACAUAUGACUCAAUCAAUACCAAACCUAAACUUAUGCAAGAAAUUAUUAUGAACAAAUUAAGCCUAACAACAUGUGAUUUUUAAGAAAUUGGUAAGAACCUAAACAUACAACUAUACAUAAAAUUAAAAUGAGAUAGGGAAAGAGAAUAUUGUACUAAGAUUUAUAUUGGUUGAACGCAUUUGUCCUUGCCUUAAACCUAAUCCAGUCUUCAACAGAGAACCAUUGAAAAUUUGUAGUCUUCCACUAUUUUGACAAUUUUAGAAUGCGCGUUUUAUAUAAUCAAGGAACUAGAUGCUGAAAUUUUAAAAAAAAAAUUAAUAGCUCCAAUAUAAAUCUUUCCUUCUUCUAUUUUACACAUCCCACGGAGCUGAAAUUCCAAGAUUUUCACUUAGUCUUAAUCUUCCUCUUACUCAGAUCUAAGACUCACUCCAGGUAUUUGUUCUGUAGCGAUCUUCAUUCGAUCCUACUGGUCCCAUGUCUGAGCUUUUAGUAUGUCUAAUGGAGAAAAACCUCCCAAAUUCGUUCUAAAACUACCUUUACUUGGAUCUAUUGAAGUUUUCAAUCGAGAAAAAAUCCUUUCUUUUUUCUCCUGUUGGAUUGUUGAUUCCCGAUAACACCACACAAUACGAAUUUUGAUCUAGCAACCCAAAAAGUUCACAAAAAUUAAAAAAAAAUGAACCUCCUCUAUGAUUAGUCUUAUACUCCCUAAGAAUUGAGAAGAGAAUACAUCAUGGUAAACUUUCUAGAGGUUGAGGAUGAAUUGGUGCACUUUGAAAGCUAAAAAAUAAUAUUUUGAAAGACUCUCAAAGUUAUGAUGUCAUGAUCGUCAUUUUUAAAAUGAAAUAAAUGUUGUAUAUAUGUACUUGAUAUAGACCACUAGAAAUGAGUAAAAACACCCAUUUCAUCUGAUUCACAUAUAAUGGGUAUUGUUGAAUAAGUGACUUCAACUACAAGCAGGGGGGGGGGGGGCUCGUGAGUUAUGGUAUUUAAAACCCGCGAUUAAUUUUAGGGUUUUGUUACUUAAACAAUAUAUCAUGUUAGUUUUAUUCAUUAUCGGAGUAAACUUAGUAGUGCAAUGUAAUGUAGUAAAGUAAAUUACAAAAGUAAAGAGAGAAGGAUUUAGAGAGAUUGUACCAGUGAUUUUUCCAGGUUUGGCCAAACGAUAUCAACUUUUAUCCUUAAGAGAUAUUCUUGAGAUUUUGACUAAAAACUUUUAGCUUUUAUAGGUUAUUCCAAAGAACCUUGAUACAAUCUGAUCUUGAGAUUUUACUAAGGCUUGUCCCCACCCAAUAAUAGAAGCUUUUAAUCAAGCUAAGUUAGUGAACCAAUCAAAUAUCUUCCAGGAUUAUCUCAUGAACCAAAAAGAACUUUUUCCAGCAAAGCCCUUCAAACCAACACAUAGUUUUUAUUAUUGGUUUAUGUCAGGAACCAAACUCGAUUUCCCAAUAAUAUCACACUCUUGAGAAUUAUAACAAUAACACGAACAAUAAAAUUUCUUCCUCACAAGUAGUUUUCAAUCAAUAACGCCAAUGCAACUUAAGUGAAAAAUAAAAAAUGUUUCUAGAGAGAGAGAAAUUCCAAAAAAAUAGAGAGCUUUGGAAAAUGAUGUGUAAUGAAGAGGAGGUGACCCUCAUUUAUAUAGGAGAUGAAAACAUCAGAAAAGUAAAAAAUCCAUGGGCCAUUUUAAUGUCCCAAUUGAUUGCCUCCUUGUCUCAAUCGAUUGGAUUAUUGAAUUUAAUCGAUUACCUUGUUCCAAUAUGCAAAGAUUGGAUAGAAACCUGUUACCAGUCAUUAAUGUGUUUUCCUAAUCUAUUAAGUAAUUGAUUAGGAUUCUUCCAAUUGAUUGGCUUAAGGUACCAAAUCGAUUUGGUAGUUCAGGAAUUCUUUUAAAAGGAUGCCAAUAAUAUCCUAGUCAACUAGAUUGGGCUUGAAAAUAAUUUUAAGGCUUUGAUAGUUAAAAAAAUUAAGUAUGUGUAUGUGUAUGUGUAUGUGUGUGUGUGUGAGUGUGUGUGUGUGUGACGGAGAGAGAGAGAGAGAGAGAGAGAGAGAGAGAGAGAAAGAGAGAGUUUCCUUAGUUUCUUAAGAGUUACUUCCCUAGUUUCAUAAAGAGAGAGAGAGAGAGAGAGAGAGAGAGAGAGAGAGAAAGAGAGAGUUUCCUUAGUUUCUUAAGAGUUACUUCCCUAGUUUCAUAAAACUCUAGUCAAUCAAACAACACAACUUGGCGAGCUUUCGCACUUUCUCUCUUUCACAACUCUGAGACCUUCAAGAUCCUUUGCAAGAUACAUCGAUCAUAUAAGAAAUUUAAUGGUUUCUUUAAUCUCUUUUUAUAUGAGGCUUGAGAUAUAUUUAGGUUUGGUAACAAUCAUAAUAGAGUUUGAAAGUUACUAACACCGACUUUAGUAGUCUUUGUAACACCCUAAACCCCGAAAAUCAUAUAAAAAUGUUUACUCAAAGAUUUAAGGCAUCACAACCGACAACCCUUCAACAAAACAUAGACACUUUAAAAACAUGAAACAGAAAAAUAAAAAACAUACAACACCUAUCAUCGCAUGCUCACCUUCACUUAGGGUAUCAUCACAUCAGAAUCACAUAAAUCGCAAUAAUAAAAUAGGUUAACUUCAAUUUGGUUCUUAUAAAGGCUUAACUUUCACAAAAUGAUUCAAAAGGAGUUUUAAUAUCCACUUCCAACAACUUCAAACAAAUCAACAUAAUAAUUAGAAACUUCAACAAAAAAAUACAUCGAUGUCAACCAUAAUAAAGAAAAUAUCGUUCUCCCCCAGUGUUACAGAAUCAGAGCAUAGCGGCUAAAAAUGCGAUAACUAAAUGAAAAUAACUUCAAGAGCUUUUUUCCACUCACAACAAUAACUCUACUUCUGAGUAUCUGCAAAAUGUCCAUGGGGGACAACAUCAAAGAAAUGAGGUCAAAAUUAACAUCAAUAUAUUAACGACAUAAAUUGUAAGGUAGAACUCAAACAUUUUUACACAUUCAACAAUAGUCACACAACAUCACUCUCACACCAAAAUCCAUCAACAUACACAAAGCUAUCACAUAUUCGUCUUUUAAAUCAUGUAAUGAGACUUACAUAACUUCAACUAGACUCAUAUGAAUGAGAUACCAUAUCACCAUCAAUUGAUUCACUUAGGAAUCGGGUUCACCCUGCUCAAAUAUGGGACAAGUCACCAAUCCACCUUGCUCGGGUUGCAACUUGCCUUUUUCAUCAAUAAUAAUGACAUAAUGAAUGCAUGGCACACCACGUCAAUGAAAAAAAACAUAAUGUUUAAAGUCCCUUCCCGAGAAUUAACAAAACAUAGAUUGACCCAAUGAUAAUAAUUCCUCCUGUGAACUAUCAUAUCAUCCCACAAUAACAUAAUCACAAAUAAGCGACAUCAGCCAUGCUCAUUCAACAACAUAUCAUUGAAGCUAGCAGAAAUAUAUCUGAACGUAUCACACGCUCGAACAUACAAUAGAGUAGUCAUAGAACUUUAUUUAUUCCAUAAGGAAAGGAAAAACAUUGAUAAAACCCAGGGGAAAGAGAUAUGUUGGGUAAGAAAGUCGGUUAUGCAAGGGGAAGGUAUUAGUACCCCAAACAUCCAUGGUACUCCAUGGGAACCAUUUUGAUUGUUCUCCCUCGAAUAGGCCUGAUAACUAAAGAUUACUCGCAAAAAAAUGGGGAAAGAAAAAGAAUAGAUAAAGUGCUCGGUGAGGGUCGGGGCCCUCAUGCCUACGUAUCCCCAUAGUGCAAUGAGGAAUUCAUAGCUUCGUAGUUCAAGGAACUAGAGGCGGGGGGAUGAAAAGAAUUAUGAUCAAAGUAUGGUCUGAACCAAAGAAUAGUGUUUUGAGCUCCAACAAGGGUGAAAAGAUAAACCCAAGAGUAAAAUGGCUAUUACCAGUACAUGGGCUAGUAAGACCGUCACUAUAGGGUAAUACGGAAAAGAUGAACAAAUAGGUGUUUGGGCACAACCCCAAACAUCUCUUGGUUCACAAGAUGACGCAAGAAGGAGCACAAAGAGGUAGUGUAUUUGGCUCAAAGGUUACUGGUAUAUCACAUGGAGCGAGUGAAGUUAUACUAUGAGUGUAUCAUGGUGAUGAAUGAAAUGAAGUGACCAAAGUCAUAGAAAUGAAUAUCUGGGGACAAGUGACUGAGGAAGUAUUGUUUGACAUCGAAAGUUGAAAGUGUAUUGGAAUCCAUAAGAGAAACGAGAUUUGUACCAUAGAGGGAAAUAGCUUUAACCGAUACGUGGACUAGUGGGACCGCCACUAUAGGGUGUUUAUACAAAAAAUGAGGAAUUAAGUGUUUGAGGGUGUAGCCCAAACAACUCUAGGUAGAAAUGAGGACUUUACAUUAGGCGUCCUAAAAGGGUGUACAUGAAAUUCCAAAGAAAGUAUAUUUCUAUGUCAAAGGAACAAUAUGUCACUGGGUGAAUAAUUUAUGAUCGAAGGUAGGUAAUGAAUAGUGGAAGAUAUGAACGGUUCCCUAAGGCGAAGGAGGAAUAAUUAGAGUAUGCUCGCCAAGGAUUCGCAUCCUCGUGCCUACGUAUUCUCAUUAUGCAAUGAAAAAGUCAGAGCAACCAUAGUUCGAAACCAUGAGAAAUAGGGAAAGAGACAUACAGUGAUGGAGAGUAUGACUAUUUCAAGAGAAUGGUAUCAAAAGGUAUUUGUACAAGCGACAGGGGACUCACGAGACAAACACCAUUUCAGAGGUUAACUGCCAUGAAACAAGGAGAGAGAGAUAUUUGUCUAAGCGACAGGGGAUUCACAAGAUAAACACCAAUUCAAGGAAUGAUUGCAGUACUGUAUAGUACAAGGAUAGUGUAUCACUGGAUGGGGAACAAAUAGUUCGAGAUCAAAAAGGAUAGUAUCUUGGAUCUAAGAAGGAUAUAAACUCUGAAUCAAAGACCAAGGUAGUCAUUUACCAGUACGUGGGCUAGUAAGACCGCCACUAUAGGGUAAAGCCAAAAACACACACUGAAUUAAGUGUUUGGGAAUAGUCGCAAACAACUCUCGAUCGAUGAGAUGGAUUAUCGCUGAGAUGUCCCAAAAGGAUAGACAAGGAGUCAAAUGAUAAGUAUGAUUGAUCUAAAAAAGGAUGGUAUUGAUAGAACGAAUGAAGAAUAAUUGAUUGACAAAUAGGGUAGCAAUAAAUAAAGUAGCUCGCGAAGAAUCUGGAUUCCCCUUUCUACGUAUCCUUAUAGUGCAAUAAGGAAAUCAGAGCUUUCAUAGUUCAUCCCAAUAUGGCUGAAAACAAGAAUGAUUGGAGGAAAAAUAAUGAUUGAAUGAUUGAAUGAUUGAAUAGAAAUGAAUAGAAUGGAGAGAUGAAAUGAGAGACUUGACAGUCGAUUAAUAAGAAUCACACUAAAGUCUAUGAAUAAGGGCGAACGCUUUGAAUAUUUGAGGCCUACGCCCCAUAUGGAAAGUCGCUCUAGACGAGGAUAAGAGAGACUCCGUCUUGUCAUUCCUUAUUACUUAAGGCUCAUAGCGCAUGGUACUUUUCUUAACUGACAAGUUGCUGGUGAAGAAUCUUCAUUGUUGAUCCUUGUGUUAAUGUUGAUUUGGUGUGAAGAAGACUUGGUAGUUUAAUCGAUUCGUAUUAUACUAAAGUCUAUGAAUAAGGUCAAACUCUUUGAAUAUUUGGGGCCUACGCUCCAUACGCAAAGUCGCUCUAGAAGAGGAUAUGAGAGACUCCAUCUCAUCAUUCCUUAAUGCUUAAGGCCCGUUUCGUACAAUAUGAAUCGUAUUUACCAAGUGUUGACCUUUGAUUUAUCUUGUAUAAACCGCUUCUUGGUGUGACUGAGGAUGCCUUGAUUAAAGUUCUUGACUUGAGGCUUCGAGCUCCACAGCUUAGAAUAAAAGUCUUAUUAAGUGAUCAAGGGUCUUUUGGUCACUCAAUUUAGAAUGUGGGAUUAUACAAGUCCAAAGGAUUUAAUCAAUCAAAAUUUCUUUGGAUCAAUUUCAAUCGGAGGGUUUGAAGUGAUUUUAGAAAACUAGGUUGAUCUUGAUCUAAUGGUUAGAAUUUAAUCAAACUAUCCUAAGGGAUCAUGUUAUCAUUAAUCGCAAAUCUAUGUUAAUUCUAUUCCUAAGGGAGCAUGUGAUGGUUGACUAAAAAUCUAUAUUAAAAUCCUAGGGGAAUAUGAAAUUAUGGGUCAAAAUUUCAUAAUAACCCCUAAAGGAUAAAAUGGUCCAUUCAUAGAAAUAUCCCAUUACGAACAAAUGAUUAUUUCCAAUUAAAGUCUAAUUUGAAAUUACAAAUUGAUUAGGUCAAAAAUUCUAAAAUUAGCCUAUGUUUAGAAAUUAACUACAUUCCAAAGUUAAGAUCUAAUUAGUUUCUAAUUUCUAUCUAAUUAACUAUAUUAAAAUCCAAUUAGACAAUCAUGGGAAAUGGAAGAAAACAAGGGAUCAAGAACUCACUGUAACCGAAGAUUUCGGCGGAGUUAGGUAAAUGCUUCUAUUUCCUUGCCUCUGGUUCGCCUGUCACUUAUUCUUCUUCUCUCGAUACUCCUUCUUCUUCUUCUUAUGGAUUGAGAGUGAGACCUUGAGGAGGUUUAAGCACAACAAAUUUGAAGCUCUAAUGGUGAGCUUCAAUUGUUUCUAGAGAGUGCGUAUAGUAAGGGUGAGGGAGAGGAAUCGUAAAUGAUUGGAAUGAGAGUGUAAUGAUUGCCAAUGGUUCAGAAGUGAUGGAGGUGAUGUAAAUUUAUAGGAGUUAGCUUUGGAUUAGUGUAGGUUAGGAGUUAAUUAUGAUUUAGGUUUGGAGGUUGCUUGGGAAACAGUUAGAAUGAACUCAGUGAGUUCAGUUGGUUAACUCAUUGAGUUAGAGGUUAGUUUGUGUAAUUUUAAGUUGGUUAAUUGGUUAUUUCAUUGGUGACUGGCUAUGGCAGGUUACACCUUAAGUGGAAUUGGCUCUGCAUCUCUGAUUGCUGACCUACUGAACAUGUUCCUCUUCUAAAGCUAAUUGUUAGUGACUUGAAUUACUUCUAGAUUGGUUUAGACAAUGACCUGUUUGCUUCAUUGGCCACUUCAUGAUGCAAUGUUGUUCUUUGAUGUAGUGUUAGAUUGUGACCAUUGCGCAUUGUUGCAGUACAAGCAUUGCAAGUCCAUUGUGUUAGCUGGUGGAGCAUGGUGUUGGCAUGUCUUGAUGACAGGUUUUAAAUUGCUGCAGUGUCGUUCUUGGUUGAUGUAGUUUAUCUCAGGUCAGAUGUUCCAACUCUAGUCAUUAUGCCACGAUCUAGUAUGCAUGGUUAUUGGUGUAUGUAUGUUUACACUUAAUCUGUUCCUGCAGGUUUGGAUGUUGCAAUGAUUUGGUUGGCAGGAUUUAGUCAAGUGGUUGUGUGCACUGCAGGUUUAUAGGUUGAAUUGUGGAGCUCACAUUGACUUAACAAGAUGUUUCAGUUGUGUACAAUAAGGCAUCAUGGUUUGGUUGCAACUCUCAUUUGACUUAUGCAUUUGGAAUGGUGGAGUGAUAUACUGGAGGUCAUGUUAGCUGCUGGUAUGCAGAUGGUUUUGUACUGCAUGCUUUAUUUGUAUAACAUGAAUGUUUGGCUUCAUAGGUUGUAGUACUGAUCCUCUCUUUGCCCUAUUAAAAUUUAGGAUGGCUCCUUCAUUUGUUUUCCUAUGAUUCUCCCGCUGGACAUCUUGUUAGCAUCCUUUGGAUCUGGAUAUGGAUCUAUACUAAACUCUAAUGGACAAUCACUUUCAUUGAAUGAAUGUGUGGUUUGCAGAAGCAUGUGAGAAGUGGGGUAAUGUUGUAGGCAGGAAGAAGUGCUUGGAAUGAUGCUUUGGUGAAGGUUAGUACAUGGAAGGGCUUCUGUCCAUUUAUUUUGCUAAAGUAAAGGUUGGUGGUUGGCGUAGCAUGAUACACUGCUUGGGCAAUUUUGCAGCUUGCUGAUGUGAACUGACUAUAUCCUGUUGCAGCUUGAAAUGUUGGUCGUAUGUAUUAUGCAGGUUUUUUCGUGGUGCCAUGGUGAUGCCAGGAAAAUGCAAAGUGUUGGGGCUCUUAUGAUGCAUGUAGGAUAGUCAUGAGGUAUUUGUUACUAAACUGAAAUAUAAUGCUCUGAUGUAUGCUUGUCAUGUCCCGUUGCUUCCUGUUGUGAAUUGUGGCUCGAGUUUGGUUCAUGGUAUGCUCAAAUGAAUGACCUUGAUUAAUGCAUAAUUUUUUGAUAUAUGUUUGCAGCUCCUGCUUGGCAACAUGUUGUUUUUUAGGUGCAUUCGCUUCAUGUUAAUGAUGAUGAGACUACUAUUAUCAAUGAUGUCAAGGUUGGAAUGGUAGAUUACUAUGCUUUGCUUUUGGUUUACAUCAUGUAAUAUUGUGCAGAACUACCUUGUUUGGCUUGUGGCAAGCUUUUGGAUAACUGUUGGUUGUGUCUUUGCAUUGCAGGAUGAUUUUCUACCAAGGAAAUGUUAAUUGCAAGUUAGCAUUAGGUCUUGCUUGCUUGUGCUUACAACAAAUUAUGGAUUAGUUAUUGACACACACUUAUGGCUUGUGAAUUGAUGAGGCUUUUUGCUGGUUUUAACUUUGUCUUGCAGGGAGUUUAGUUUUGGCUACUACAGGACCAUGAUGGCAGGAUGCUAGUGUAAGGUGUGUCAUGUUCAAAGCCAACAUUCACGUGCAUUAUUUGGUCAAAUUAGUCAUAUGUACAAUAUUUGAUCAUGUGGUUAGGGUGUUUGGUUAUUGUGAAUGCAGGACCAUGUUUAUCAAGGUAGAGUUAUAAUUGGCAAGACAAAAAUGACCAAGUCAUGGCAUGGUAAGCAUGAUUUUGAAAAUGGGCCAAGUUACUUGGAAAUGAAGAAACAAGGCAACAUCACAUCAACAUGACCUUUAGAUGAUGAAUCAAGGCAGAGUGGUUUAGAUUAGGUCUUAGGUGGUCAAAAAAGGGUGGGUUGACUUUGGUUAAAGUUGACCGAAAAGUCAAAUGUUGACUAAAGUCGCCACUUGGUCAGAGUUGUCAAAAUUUGUAUUUUUCCAUGUAAUGAUUAAUGUAGUGGAUUGUAAUGGUUUAAAUGGAUAGAAAAUGGUUUUGAAUGAGUGUGAUUGAAUAUUGAAUGGAUAUGAUUGAAAUGAACCAUGAAUAUGACUUUGGAUGAAGAUGAAUGACUUGAAUAAACCAAUAACAUGAAUCACCUUGAAUUGAACAGACAAUGAUAAACAUGAAACAAAUAUCCAUAAACCGAACACUAAGCAUUGAAUGUCAUGAAGUGGUUUUGGAUGGACAUAACCAGAUGAAACCAAACAAAUCAAGGGCUAGGCAAUUGAAAUGUACAAAUGAAAUGCCAUGUGAUAUAAGCAAAGGAUGUAAGUUUAUAGGAUCAAGACUUGGGCUAGGACCAAUGGCCUUAAGCACAGAUGAAUGGAACCAGAGCAAAAUCAACAUGAAUGAACCAAAUACAAGCGAUUAUGAGGGACAAUAACCAAGCAAGAGUGUCAAACACACAAUGGGUGAAGAACUGGGUGAAACUAGGGUUUGAAGACCAUCUAGAUGAAGGGUCAAGUUAUAAGAUUCCUUUGGACCAAAUCCUCCUUGAUCAGGGUUACCUGAGGCAUGCCCUUCAACCAAGGUUUUUGAAUUAACCAAGAUGCUUCACAAACAAAUCCUUAAUGGAUAUACCUUCCCAAUUAGGGUUUUGAUAGCCAAGAUAAAGCCCAGAGGAACUCUACAAAGCUUCAUGACCAUAUCAUCAAGUAUUAGGGUUAGAAAGCCUCGAGGAUUUCCUAGAUACCCCCUUGCUGAAUCCAUGCCUCUAUCAUCAAGAAAUUAGGGUUUUGAAGGCCCCUGAGCUUUGGUGCAAGUCCAAGCCACACCUUUCAAGUUAAUACACAAGCAAACCCUAGCUCUACAAGCCAAGAAUUUGGAAUCUAUGGUGAUCCCUUAAGGGAAUGAAUGAUGCUCAUGCAUGAGUUAUUAAUGUAUGCAACUGAACUCAAGUCAAGUGGUUGGAUGGAGAUAUGAAAAAUGAAGGGAAAUGUUUGGGGUACAACAACUUCCCCUAUUUUAUCUUCUUGAGCCUGAAUACAGGACUUGCGACAUCUUUUCAGGUAUUCGAGGUGGAAGAGGAUAAAAUACCGACGUAUCCAAAGAUUUGCUUGAACGGGUGGUCACACUGUUGACACAGGUCUCUGAUAUUUAUGUGGGGUCGUCAUGGCAGAGAGUAUGAUAUGCGUGGUUCAUGAUGUAUGCUUUAUUUUCAAGAUGCGUGCAUGUUUGAUUGGUUAGGCGUAUGUCAUUUGUGGGGGAUAUGGUUCUUUAUUACAGAGGAAACUCCGAGUCGUCAUCGAUUGUCAAAAGCUUAAUGAUAUUGUGCAGUCCGGGUGGGAACACUGCUGUCAAGGAUUCACUUAUCUGAUGGAGAAUACUAGGGCAUAAAACCAACAGGGUUGUCAUUUGGAUGUUCUCAGCGUUCAAACAAAACUUUAGGACUACCGGUCAUCUUUUAAGUUCGUCGGGUUUUUACAGUAAUGCAUAAUGUUUCCUUUUAGUGUAGCUUUUAUUAUUCUCCCAAAUUUUAAGGCAUUCUGCGAAUAAGAUAAAUCAGUUAUUUUGCAUACAAAAUACUGUAGAAGAAACGUACUUGAUGAAAUGAACUGAAUUUUAUUGAUGCGAAAUUGUACAUAUGGUGUGUACAAAUAUGCAAAUACCCUUGAUGAGAGUGUUGCCAAAAUUGAAAAAGUAAAUGAAAUGGCAAUUGGAAACAUUUUUUAUAUUUUUCCAUUAUUCACAAUUUUGGCCUUCAUCUACUGUAGAAUUUGAAUUCUGAGGCCUUGCUUUGAUUGACGAUGAUUGGAUUGUUCUUUGACUAUCUGAUAUCUAGCUUGUAGCGUGAUGGGCUCAAGGAUCAUAGUCAAUUCCUUUAUCCCUAACUUUUGCCUGGACAUUUUUCGUUCUUUUCGUCCACCAGGAUGCUCUUUUUUGCCUAAGUCGCCCUUUCGGGUUUUCGACUUAGCGGGAUUUGUAUUUGUUCCCUAACUUUUGCAUGGACAGUUCAUUUUUUGGUCCAUCGGGAUAACCAUUUUUGCCUAGAUUAAUUUUGUGAUGGUUAAUCUAGCGGCCUUUUGUCAUUUCUUUUUAGGCAAUAUUUUUUGACUAUGUCUGCAUUCACCAGCGAUGGCAAAUCUUCCCCAUCCAUUGUUGUGAGGAUUAGAGCCCCACCUUAGAAGGCCUUCUUGAUGACGAAAGGUCCCUCAUAGUUAGGAGUCCAUUUGCCUCAAGGAUCUGAGUGAAUAGAAGAAUACCUUUUGAGCACGGGUUCUCCUAUGCGGUACUCACGAGGAAGAACUUUCUUAUCAAAAGCUCGUUUGAGACGUCUUUGAUACAACUGACCAUGACAAAUGGCCGUCAAACGCUUUUCUUUGAUCAGAUUCAGCUGGUCACACCCUGAUUGAACCCAUUCAGCUUCAUCGAGGCCAGCCUCCAUGAUGACUCUGAGUGAAGGGAUCUCGACUUCAAUUUGUAGGACAACUUCCAUCCCAUAAACCAAUGAGUAUGGAGUUUCCCCAGUGGAUGCGCGGACCGAGGUUCUAUAACCGUGUAGAGCAAAUGACAACAUCUCAUGCCAGUCCUUGUGUGUCUUGACCAUUUUCUGGACGUUUCUCUUGAUGUUCUUAUUAGAUGCUUCUACUGUGCCGUUCAUCUUGGGCCGAUAUGGUGAAGAGUUGUGGUGCUCGAUCUUGAAUUCUUCGUAUAACUCCUUCAUCAUGUUGUUGUUGAGAAUAUUGGCAUUGUCAGUGAUGAUCUUGCUAGGUAUCUUAUAGCGACAGAUUAUCUCUUUCUUGAUAAACUGUGUAACCACCUAUCGAGUUACAUUGGCAUAUGAAGCAGCUUCGACCCAUUUUGUGAGCUAAUCAAUGGCGUCUAGGAUGAAUCGAUGACCAUUGGAAGCUUUAGGCUCUAUCAUCCUAAUCAUAUCAAUACCCCACGUAGAAAAAAGCCAUGGAGAAGUCAAAACAUUCAAUGGUGUCGGUGGCACAAAGAUCUUGUCCUCAUAGCUCUGGCAUUUGUGACAUCUUCUAACAAAGUUGUAACAGUCGACCUCCAUUAUCGUCCAGUAAUACCCAGUCGAAGGAUCUUCUUAGCCAUAACAUGAACUUUUGCAUGUACGCCCUCACAACCUUCAUGUAUGGAUUUUAUGAUCAUACUAGCUUCGUGUCUAUCCACGCAUCUGAGCAGUACAAAAUGAUAAUUUUUCUUGUAUAACACAUCACCGUUUAGGAAGAACUUGGAAGAGAGUCUUCUUAGAUCCUUCUUAUCAGUAAUGGAUAUACCCUCGGGAUAUUGUUGUUUCUCCAGAAAUGUCUUUAUGACAUAGAACCAGGGUUUAUCAUCAGGAUCGACCUCGAUUGCUAGACAAUGCGCUGGUUCAUCUAAGUGGUCAAUAUGGAUAGUUAGUGCUUCAUUCUUCCAUUUGACCUUGAACAUAGAUGCCAACAUAGCUAGAGCAUCUACUAACUGAUUUUCUUCCCUGGGAAUAUGAUGAAAGGAGAUUUCAUCAAAGUAGGGUACUAGUUUUCUUAUAUGCUCUUUAUAAGGUAUUAACUUGCUAUCCCGAGUCUCCCAAUCACCUUUUACCUGGCUUAUUACCAGAGUCGAAUCACCGUAUACCUAAAUGUAGCGGUGUAUUCAUCGCCUUUAUGAUUUAUUGACUAAAUCAAAAGCAAAGCAUACAAAGAUAGAGUCGCCACCGCACUUCUAUUUAUCCAAAGGAAUGGCUAGAAAGCGAACAAAAGCCUAAGAAGUUUUACGCAAAGAAAACUAAUAAAAGGUCAUAGAUUGGGUAAGGUAAUUAUGUUGUGGGAAGGUGUUAGGCACCCACAACAUCCUAGGUACUCCUAGGGAACCUCUUUUCACAACUUGUUGUAAAAAUUAUUUGUUUAUGAAAUUAUUUUGUGCAAACAUUGAUUGAAAAGAUGAGAAAAGAAUAUACAAUUUUUAUUAUUUUUGUGUUUGAAUGGAUGAACCCAUUGCCUACGUACCUUUUCAUGAAAGAUAAGGAUCAAAACGCCGUAGUUCGGCUAAAGAUUUCCGAAAAAAUGAGUGGAUUGAUUUUAAACAAAAGCCUUAAGGUCUUUCAUUAUCAACGGGAGAACACUCAACCUGAACCAACAAUCCACCAUGUGAGAACAGCUUCAACAUGCUAGUGAGGGGUUAACCCUAUAAUAAGCAUGGAAGUCUUACAAUUCAAUCACUAAGGAUGCAGUGAGAUUUACAUCAACCACUAUGAUAACUCAGAUCUAUGGCUAAUGUAUGAAAACUUGAUCAAGAAAUGGACAAGGGCCACAAAAAAGCAAUUGAGUGAGUGAAAUUAACCAACUAGAAGUAUUCACAAAGAUGGUCAAAGUUGGCAUUAAAGUUCAAUUCAGAAGAAGUAUUAUGAAAAUGAAGUUUGAAAAUCAGAGGCUUAAGGCCUAGGUUUCUAGUUUGAAAACAGAUAAAAAUGUUUGCACAAAGUUUUCUGGUUUGGGUUACAAAUGCAAGUGGAGGUUGUAAGGAAACAAAAGGUGGGGAUGAGGAGUAAUACUUCAUUAGGAGUUCCUCUCUUGAGAUCGUAUGUAACAAAACUGGAAAUGGAUGGCCAAUCAAUGGUCUUAUAUCCAAGUCCGAAAACAAAUGGGAAAUGGAGUGCCAAUAAAUGGUCUUACGUCCAACUCCACAAAGCAACAUGGGAAACAGAUAGCCAAUCAAUGGUCUUACAUGUAACUCCACAGAGAAACAAACACAGAUAGGAAACAGAUAGCCAAUCAAUGGUCUUAUAUCUGACUCCACAGAGAAACAAACACAGAUAGGAAACAGAUAGCCAAUCAAUGGUCUUAUAUCUGACUCCACAAAACAAAACAAUAUAGGAAAUGGAGUGCCAAUCAAUGGUCUUAUAUCCAGCUCCCCAAAAGGAACAAGAAAGAGAUAGCCAAUCAAUGGUCUUACACCUGACUCCACAAGAGAAAACAAAAUAGGAAACAGAUAGCCAAUCAAUGGUCUUAUAUUUGACUCCACAAAAGAAAACACAUAACAAAUGCAAAACAAACAUAUGAAUGAUGCACAAAUAAGCAAACAAGCAAUCAAUUAUCACACGCUAUACACACCCAAGAGGCUCAUACAAGGUUGGGCUUUAGUCAAGGGGUCAUAUCGACCUUGACAAACAAGCCAAAUACUGGAAGGGGUGUCAGGCUCUUAACCUCUGACAUUGACCGUCAGGGUGAGCAGAUGAAAUGGGAGAUGAGGGUUAGACCUCAUAGCUCUUAACCCUGGCCGGGGUGAGCUUGAAUCAAAGAAGGUGUGGGAGUCCAGAAUGUAGGAACUUUACUCCAUAAUGAUUGACUCUAUAUACAAUGAUCUUGGGGUGUUUAUUCAAAUGCAUCAGCACGUAGUGCGAGCAAUAUGAAAGACUCCACUGAAUAGAAGGGGAUGGAUUGCACAUCCCUUCUAUCUGCCAAUGCCUAUUCACUUAGGAGGUCUUAAUAUGUAACCAUGCCUCAUUGAGGUCUUUAGCACAAAUUAAACAAUCAAGAACUGGCCUCUUAAGAGGGCUUCAGACAGGUGCCUGCCAAAGAUAGCAGGUCUUCCAUACUACAUGGAGUUAAAGAGAUUACCUAAGUGGUAUGCCAACCACAAGCAAAGAAAAGCAACUCAAUAAUGAGUUAAGCUACUAAAGUACCUGUUAAGAAAAUCAAACAAGUCAAUAUUCACAUUCAGACAAACUAAACAGACAGUCAACAUUGAGACAACCAAUAUACACAAUGUAAGUCAACAACUCAAGUGAGUUAGCCACCCAAGGACCUACAACACAAUCAACGUUAGUUAAACAAAGCAAAUUGUAUCUCAAGCAAGGAGAUCACAUCAUUCAUUAGGACUUAUUGAUUGAACCUGAAAGGCAAAGCUCAAAUUGUGAGUACAAACCCCUAGGACAAAGCCUAGGGUCACAGGUAAGUCAAAAAGUCAAAACAGCAACCAAUAUUCAACAUAAAGCUCAUUUAAUCAAUCAUGAACAUGUCCUAAAAAGGACCAAGUCAAAAGCAUUAAGCAAAGUCAUCUCAUGAGCAAGAUAUGGAAAAGACAAUUUCAAAGCACACAAUUGAUCAUCAAGAAACAAAAUUCCAUAUUAAAACAGAAAUGAAUCAAAUAAUCCUAGAAACUUUUAUGAGCAUACAACAUGUCCAACACAAUCAUCAUGCCAAAAAUUAUCAUCAGAGAAGCUCAUUCGAUAUGGAUAUGAAAAUGAAUAAGAUCAACAUCAAAUUGUGUGACACACAUUGUCACACCAUACAAUCACAUGCCUAAAACAGAGAGAGAAAAUGCUAAAAAUGCACAACCAAGCCUCAAAAAUCAAGCAACAUGUUGGGAAUCAGCAUACAAAAUUUCAUGGCAAUUGGAUCAUUAUUGAGCAUUUCACAAUAGAAUGAAUGAAGCAUGGUACAUUUUGCAUACAUGUCCAAUCAACAGUCCACAAUCAAAAAUCCAGAGAUGAUAAAAUCAUGAAACCACCACCAAAAAAUAAUAGACAAACACAUGAAAAUAUAGAAAAAAAUUGGGAAUUAAUUGGAUGCAUAUUCUAUUUUUAGUGAUUUUUUGAAUGUGAUGAAACUAUUUGAAAUGAAAAUGAUCAUGCACAUGUUAAAUUGGAGGGAAAGGUAAUGUUGGAAUUAAUUUGAAAAUGUGGCACCGGCUGGAACCGAACCUGGUACGCACAAAAAUGAAGCGCUAAAGCAAUUAAAAUUCCAAAACGCAAAUGCUGGGAAUCGAAGGGGGUUAGGCCAAAACGCAGCACUUCAUUUAUGAAGUGGCGUGCCAACUCAGCGGUCAAUGCGCAUGUGGCGCAGGUCAAGCAAACCGGAUCCAAUUGUUUUGACAAUAGGCGUGGUGUGUGGCAGCUGACUGGGAUGAAAACCCUAGCGUUCAAGGCCUGUUGUAGACAGCGGAGCCUGCGGUGGCCAGGGGUGGUUUCCACCGUCUUCCUCAUGAAGACGGUGGUUGCUACAAUGAACGCAACCAAAAAUUUCUCCAGAAAUGCACAAAAAUUAUACCAAUGGAAAGCUCAUGACAUGUACAUUCUAAAUCCAGCAUCAAUUCAUAUUAAUUCAUCACAACAAGUGCAAAUCAAAUCAAAACAUUCUUCACAUACAAAACUUCUAUCCAGCAUAACUCAUGCAAUUAUUAUCCAAAUUCCAUGAAAUCUAUAUCAGAAUUUUCAGCGUGAGGAGAUCUACCUAAACAUGGAAAUGGAUGAAGAAUUAUGAGAUUCGAGUUUUUACCUCUUGAAGAGCAGAACAAUGAAAUAGUGGAUCCAAGGCCUUGCAAGUGUCCAGAUCAACUCCUGAGAUGAUAUAAUAAAUUUUGAUGUAUGAAUUGAAGCUUGGAGAUGCUUGGAUCUAGCUCAAAAGUCAGUUUCCAUCUUCAUGUUCUUGAGCUUCAUGUGCUUAAUUUCCACUCGAAUUCUUCAAAUCAAAGCUUGAUCUGCACUAAAUGAGGGUCAGAGAACAAGAAUAUGCAAUGAAAUCAAUGGCUUAUGUGGAAGAAAUUCAAGUUUCAAUGGAGAGAAAAAUUUGGAGGGAAGAGAAAUUUGGAUCUAGAAUGAGCAAAAAACUCCAGAAUUCUGUUAUGAUUUAGUAUUUAUAUGGUCUCCUAAUCAUGCUGAAAAAUGUAAUUAGUAAUGGUUAAUUGAAAUUAGCAAAAAUAAGAUGUAUGACAAAAAUUGAAAAAUGUGAGGUGCAUGGAGCAUUUGGACGUGAACAGUAGCAUAUGGAUGCUCAAAUUCACUUAAAAUCUUCCAAUGAACACAAUGGCAAUGGUAAUUUCGAGUACACUAAUUGGUUAAUUGAAUUUGCAAAUUUCCCUCCAAAAUGGUCAUGAAUGAGCAAAUGGUCAUAUGAUGAAAUUUCAUGCAAUGUAAUGAAUGAUUUGGAAAAUACAUGUCAUGAGAAACAAUAUGCAAAAAGAGGCACUCAAUUUGGAGUUUUGGUUCAAAAGUUAUGCCUUGUUGAAGUUCCAUGUACACUUGGCAAUGAUUGGAUCAUAUCUCCUCAACCAUUCAUUAGAUGAUCAUGAUCUUGGACUUUUUAGAAAUAAGAGAGAGAGGUCUUCAACUUUCAUGUUGGACAAAAAUUCAUUUGAAGCUUCUUUGAUGUUGGAAAGUUGAGUUGAAAUUGGUCCAAAAACUUUCUAUUUUUGGAAACUUGAAAUUACAGGUCACUUUCCAUUUUAGGAAACUUUUGACUUAACCUCAAAAUCUUCAAUGUAGAUGUUUGACAUGAUGAAUAAGCCUUGUUUCAACAUGAAUGGGAUGAAGAAAUUCAAUUCUCACACUCAAAGCCCUCAAUUGACUUUCAGUUGACUUGCAUUGGUCCUUAGAUGACCUGAAAAUAUUCUGAUGAACUUGGGCCUUUGCCACUUGGGAAAUUUGCUCCAAAAUGAACCUCUAGCUCAUAUAAGCUCAAAAUAAUGAUCACAUGAUCCAUAUCUCAAUGGAAAACCUCAUCUUUUGCACAGAGGAUUCACUUGAUAUGCCUUGACCUGUUGACUGCUUAAACUGCAAGACAAAUGUUAGAUGACAUAUUUUUGUAUAUUUUGGUUAGUGAUUAAACAAGAAAUGCAAAUGAUAUAUAAUGCAAGCAAUGCUUGGUGAUCAAAGAAUCACUCACAUGGAUAUAUCCCACCCACAGGGAAGGAAACAAGGUGCUCAAUGAUCCUUGAGGUUAUGCAAUGCUAUGAUAUGAUGCAUUGAGGGAUGUUAGGGACAAAAUUGGGGUCUUACACUAAUAAAUCUUGAUCCUUAAGUCGAUGGCCACCUCCAGACCAUAGAUGCAUGUUUCAUAUUCUGCCAUAUUGUUGGUGCAGUCAAAACAUAAUCUAGCAGUAUAUGGAAGGUGGAAACCGGUCAGAGAAGUAGUAACAACGCAUAUGCCAUGGCCACAAGCAUUGGAAGCACCGUCGAACAUGAGUGUCCAUCGUGAUCCUAGUUCGGGGCCUUCUCAGGGCUUAUCUCGGAGCCUGGCAUAGUGAAGUCUCUGAUAAACAUGAUGUCUUUGUCCGGAAAGUCAAACCUUAAUGGUUGAUAACCUUCGACAGGUAGGUGAGCAAGGUAUUUAGACAAAACACUUCCCUUUUUGGUUCUGAAGGAACUUUUCUUGAAGUUCUCUUUUCUGGAGCUUUCUUUCCUUAACUUGGGACAUUCGUUUCUGUAAUUACCUGUUUCCUUACAUUCAUAACAAGUUAUAUCUUUGUUAGAUUUACCUUUUGAAAUUGGUUCUGAUCGAUAUCCUUUGGAUCUUGGUAUUCUGAAGUUAUUAUUCCUUUUUCUCCAGAGUUGUUUUACUCUUCUGGUUAAAAAGGAUAAUUCUUCCUCAUCGUCAGAGUCUUCCUUUUCAGAGUCAUCAAUUUCUUCUUCUUCAGCCUGGAAGGCUUUGUUUCUAUCAGACUUGCGUCUUUCUGAUAUGGACUUUAGUGCUACAGACUUGAUCUUCUUCUGAGGCUCAUCUUCCUCCAGUUCUAUCUCAUGACUUCUGAGUGAACUGACGAGUUCUUUAAGGCUGAUGUUGUUCAGAUCCUUUGAUAGUUUUAAGGUUGUGACCAUGGGUCUCCAUUUCUUUGGCAAGCUUUUGAUGAUCUUUUUGACAUGGUCCGCAGUUGUAUGUCCUUUAUCUAGCACUUUGAGUCCUGUAAUUAAAGUUUAGAAUCUAGAAAACAUUACCUCUACAGCUUCAUUGUCCUCCAUUUUGAAGGCUUCAUACUUCUGGAUUAGAGUCAGAGCCUUUGUUUCUUUGACCUGAGAGUUUCCUUCGUGAGUCAUCCUCAGGGAGUCAAGUAUCUCUUUAGCUGUUUCCCUGUUGGGGAUUUUUUCAUAUUCAUUGUAGGAAAUGGCAUUGAGAAGUAUCGUUCUGGCUUUAUGAUGGUUCUUGAAUUCACCCUUCUGAUCAUCUGACAUUUUGCUUCUGGGAAUGGCAACUCCAGCCUCUAUCAUAGGUGGUAUGUAGCCAAUUGUGACAAUGUCCCAGAGAUCAGUGUCGUAGCCCAGAAAGAAACUUUCAAUUCUAUCUUUCCAAUAAUCAAAUUUCUCUCCAUGAAAGACUGGAGGUUUAGCGUUGUAACUAUCUCUUUCAUUUGUGUUGGCCAUAGUUUUUCUCACUCUGGAUCUCUCUACAUUGUUAAGUGUUUGAUUAGAAAAUCAAAAACAGAGCCGAAGCUCUGAUACCAACUGAAGGUGAUAAAAACAAGAAAGCGGGGGUUUGAAUUGUUUUGGAAAUAAAAUCUUUUUCAAAGAAUAAGAACACACAAAAUUUUAUACUGGUUCGCUUAAUCCACUAAUCUUGAAAGAUUACACAACCAAUCGUCUAAGAGAAUAAUCUCUUAGCCCUCUCAAGUAUACAGACUGCACAGAGUCACUUGAGGAACAAAAAUAAUUUAAGCAAAAUAGAGUUGUAAUGUAAAGCGCUUCUAAGAGUAAGCGAGUAUUACAGAAAAGUAUUAGAACAAGAGUUUUUCACGUAAGAGCAGCAACUGGUUAAAAAAAAAGAGAGAGAAUAUGAAUGAAGUUUUUGUGCGUCGCAGAUGUGUCUCUCUAGAGAAGGAAAUUGUCCUUUAUAUAAUAGUUGAGAAGGACCGUUGGAGUGAUGACAAAAUCUUGGUCUUUGAUAAGUAUUCAAUGUCAUUACUUUUAUUGUUUCUUUCUAUAAUCAUUUUGUAUCCCUUUUAAAUUCUUUCUUAAAAUACUUCCUUUCCAUAGUGAGAAUUAUUUCCGUUAUGCUUUCUGGACUUCUGAAUCUUUAUCAGAUUCUUGAUGUACCAGAGUUAAUCUUCAGAGGAUGAUCACGUCUGACUUCAUCAGAGCUUCUCAGAGUACUAGUCUUCUAAAGUAUCAGAGUCUAAGACCAGUUGUUUGUUGGAGCUUCCGGUUCUUUUCGCUGUCUUUCUUUGAUCAGAAUCAGAGCUUCUUGGACGUACUCCUUUCUUAGCGCGUCUCAUCCUCUACUACUUUGUAUCUGACAUACGUUUGUAUCUGAUAUAUGAUCAGAGUCCUUCGUAACUGUUCAGAGUCGGGCAUGAGUGUUCAGAGUCCUGCAUACUUAGAAAAAAUCUCGUUAGAGUGCCAUGUUUGGUUUCAUCCUUUGUUAUCAUCAAAAUCUUAUAAAUCUAUUGUAGAACCAGUUUUGUUCUUACAUCACAUUCAGUGAAUUUCUUGCUAAGAUAGUAGAUAACAUGUUCUUUCUUGCCUAUGUCAUCAUGUUGACCCAAAACGCAACCCAUAGAUUCAUCGAGUAUGAUAAGGUACAUAAUGAGGGGCCUACCAGGAACCGAUUGUAUUAGGAUUGAUGUCUCUUGUAAGUACUUUUUCAUUUUGUCGAAUGCCGCUUGGCAAUCGUCGUUCCACACAAUCGAUUGAUUCUUUCUCAAUAGUCGGAAUAUCGGUUUGCAGGUAGCCGUUAAGUAUGAUAUGAAUCUGGAGAUGUAGUUGAGUCGACUAAGGAAACCUCAAACUUCUUUUUCUGUUCGGGGAGAUGGCAUUUCUUGGAUGGCUCAAACUUUGUCGGGAUCAACCUCAAUACCCUUCUGACUGACUAUGAAACCCAAGAGCUUACUGGAUCGAACCCCAAAAGUGCAUUUAGAUGGAUUCAGACGCAACUUGAACUUUCAGAGUCUGACAAACAAUUUCCUCAGAUUCACCAAGUGAUCUUCCUCAGUUCUGGAUUUGGCGAUCAUGUCGUCCACGUAAACCUCAAUCUCUUCAUGAAUCAUAUCGUGAAAGAGGGUUACCAUGGCACGUUGAUAUGUUGCCCUUGCAUUCUUCAAGCCGAACGACAUUACUUUGUAGCAGUAAGUUACCCAAGGUGUGAUGAAAGUUGUCUUCUCCAUAUCUUCUGGCGAUAUCUUUAUCUGAUUAUACCAGGAGAACCCAUCCAUGAAAGAAAAGAUGGAAAACUGAGUUGUAUUAUCAACCAAAACAUCAAUAUGAGGUAAAGGGAAGUCAUCCUUCGGACUCCCUCUAUUGAGGUCUCGGUCAUCUACAUAAUUCUGACUUUACCAUCUUUCUUCGGGACUGGAACGAUAUUAGCGACCCACUGUGGAUACUCAAAGAUGGCCAAAAAUCCAGCAUCAAAUUGCAUCAUAAACUCUUCCUUGAUCUUGAGUACCAUGUCAGGUCUAGUCCUUCUGAGCUUUUGCUUGACGGGAGGACAUUUAGGUUUGAGUGGAAAGUGAUGUUCAAUGAUGCUGGUGUCUAACCCUGACAUAUCUUGAUACGACCAAGAGAAGACGUCAACAUACUCUUCCAAUAACUCUACCAACUCGGAGUGUACAUGCUUGGCAAGAGAUGCCCCAACUUUUACUUCUUUUUUAUCGGUUUUAGAACCCAGAUUAAUGACAUCCACUAGUUCUUUAUACGGCUGAAUCUCUUUUUCUUCGUGCUCAAUGAGCCGCGCUAGUUCAACUGGUAAUUCACAAUCCUCCUCACUGUCAUAUUCAGCUUGGUUGAUUGGAAAUCUAGAAUUACAACUGAUUCUUUCCAUAUUGUAAUCAAUGGUUUUGUUUGCUCUGCAUAUGAUGAGCUUAUUUUAGUAUGCUUUUUUAAUAAAAGUGAAAAAAGGAGAAAGAAAUCUUUUUCCAUUUCGUAGUUUUUAGUGAAAAAGUAAAAUAACUAAUAGAAAGGGGAAGACAAGUUUUGCAUGCAAAAAGUAUUUUUUAUUCAUUCACAUAAUACUUUUAAACAUGGAGGCCCUUACAAGCUAUCCUCUCGUUUCGGGCGAAGACGGGGGAUCGAGAAAACAAAAUGAAUUAUGUUUUUUCCAAGUAUACUAUGGGAAUCACGGUAGUCGUCCAGUUGGGGAGCUUGGACUCUGGAGGACAUCUGCGCAUGAGGCUAGGCGUCUCUGGUUUGCUGCCACUAGGUUCUCCAAUGACUGUCACAGUAUGAUCAUUUUGAAGGUCGGCGCUGCUGAAUUUGACCGGGUUGAACUUCUUCUUAUUUGGGCUUGCCUUGCAUGCUAAUGGGUGCUAACCGGUGCCAAAUUUGUCGCGUUUCUCUGCCACGUUAAUAACUUUACCCCAACCGGGAAGUGGGCCUUUCUCCAAUGUCUGAUUGGCGCUUCUAACUGAAUAUAGAACAGUGGUGGGUGAUUAGUCAUGAUUUGCGGUAACAGAGAUAACUUUUUCAAAUUCUAAAUAGUGGAGCAGAAUCUCAACAAUCCCUUCAUCUGUCUCAACAUAUCUGAAUAACGAGAGUUCGCUAACCAAUAGAUCCUCUUCACCACACACGAUUACUAGUUUAUCAUCAAUCAAGAACUUCAUCCUUUGGUGCAGCAUAGAGGUGACUUCCCUAGCGGCAUGAAUCCAAGGCCUGCCUAACAAACAACUAUAAGCUGGGUUGAUAUCCGUGACUUGGAAGGUUAUGCUGAACUGGUGAGGUCUAACACAAAUGGGCAGAUCAACUUCCCCAAUAACCAGUCUUCGGGAACCAUAAAAAGCUCAGACAAUUAGUGUGAUGGUCCUCAUCUCGGGCCCUUUAAACUAUAAUUGGCUUAAUGUAGCUUUUUGCAGUACAUUAAGCAAAGAACUAGUGUCAACGAGGACUCAAGAUAGAAGAAAGUUUGUGCACAUGAAUGAAAUGUGUAGUGCUUUAUUAUGGGUGUUUCCCUCAGGAGAUAAUUCUACUUCAUUAAACCCUGAAUACCUAUCGACAAUGAUAUUCGCAACCACAUCAUUAAAUUGAUCGACAAUGAUAUCUUGUAUCACAUGAGCGACAUUCAGAACUUUCAGCAAUGCUUUGCGGUGAGCCUCAGAACUCAACAGCAAAGACAAAAGGGAAAUUAUGGAAGGAGUCUGGUUCAACUGAUUGAUGAUCUUGAAGUCACUCUUUUUGAUCAAUUUGAGGAAUUCCUGACUUUCCUCAAAAGUGAUUCUCUUCCUGUGAUCUUCAACUUGCUCAUUCUCAACCAUCGGCCCUUUAUCCUUAGACGCUUCUGAAUCUGCAGCUUUGCUGGUAAUAGCAUUCGUCGGCGUUGAAUCCUCUUGGGAGGAGCUUCAAACUUUUUCUUCCUAUACGUAAUAGUUAUUGGUUCUGUAGCGGUAAAUUCAUGAUCAUCAAGCUAUGGAUAAGCUAGAGAUCAAAUAACAAGAGUCACCACUGCGCUUUUAUUGUUUCCAAGGGAAAAGGGAAAAAGUACGAACAAAACCCAAAAGUAAGAAGUUUUCAAAUCAAAACUAAUAAAAUAUUAGAGAUUACAGAUGUCACACCCCAAUUUUCACCCUGAAUCGCUGAUUCAAUACAUUCAUCAUAGUUCUUGCAUGUUUACAUAGCAUACUAUGCAUUCCAUACCGCAUAGUGCCUAAAAUAUCAGUCGAAACAAUAUUUUUGGAUCUACAGACAAACCGGUUGAAUUAAUCAACGGAUGUGCGUCAAAUCAGUGAACAAAAAAUUUUAAAAUCAAGCUUCUAGACAUCAAUUCUAUUAAUCUAUGUUUCGCGUAGUUUAAUCUGGUAUGCUCGAUUUAUUUUUCAGCUAAUUUUUCGGCCACUUUUUGAUAAGCUCGAGCCUGUUUAACCGGUCAAAUUUAUUUCAAAAUUUAAAGAAACGCUGAAUUUUUUCAAUAAGUUUAUUUCGCACUGAUCAUUUUGGUGCAUUCAAUUUAAUUUUUCGAGCGAUUUCGCACCUGAUUUUUAUUCAUUUUAAAUCCGUUUAUUUUCAUUAUUGUGUCAGAAAAAUAAAAAUAAAUAAAUAGGUAUAAUCAUGCUCUCAUUUUAAUUUUAUCAUGUGAAGUUUAUUUAAUUUAAUUGAUUUAAAUUGAUUAAAACUUCUAUAAAGGGUAAGCUAGGCAAUUUAAAUUAGUUAACAAAUUGUGUUUCUUUAGUUUGAUCUUGACCGUCGGUCUCACUUAAUCAAAAGCCUAGAAUUUCUAUCCAUGUUUUUCUCUCUUAGCCAAUAGAAGAUAAGGAAAUAAAGAAAAAAUAAAAAAAAAUUAAAUAAAAUGGGUGGAAAAACUCCCCCCAUUUUUCUUUGCCGACAACCCACGUCACCCUUUCUGGUACCACAACUUUCACUCCUUCCAAUUGCAUUGUGCCACGUGAACCCUUUAGUUGGAAAAUGAAAAUGUAAAGAAUCUGAAAACUCUUCACUUUUUCAGGGGAGACCUUCAACUUUUUCUUCUUCCAUUCUCUCCCAAUUCACUCCUCCUUCUCCUCUCAUCAAAACCACAUCUCCACUACCCACUCUCUCCCCACUAACAAAAAAGAAACUUUUUUCUGAAAACCUCAACAGUAACGAACCACUUCUUCUUACCUCAAACUUCUUCUUCUUCCCCACCACAAAUCGUCACCCACCGUUUUCCGCCCUUCACCCACCAUAUCCGGCGAACCACCGACCAUAUCCAACACUCACCGUCCGUCAUCACUUCCUCCAAACUCCUUCCGCCACGGUAACUACCACCACCGCCACUCUCUCCUUCGACAUCUCUCUCCUUCGCUGACAUCACCCAUUUCUUCACCAUAAAUCACCGCGUGAAUCGUCGAUAUCAUCGCGUCCACAAACCCAUUCACUACUCAACAAUGUGCCUCACGCCGUUAACCUCUCAAUGCUUAACCCUCUCCACUCGCACCCUCAUCUCCAAUCUCCCUCGACACCAUCCUUCCACCACUUCCAAGUUGUCGUGAAAAGAAACUAAACCUCACCGGAGACGAAAUCCCUCAGUCUGUGUCAAUAUUUGUGUCCAACGAACUCCCACCGCCAAGACGACAUCUACAACCUCCAUUUUCGGAAGCUCAUACAAGAUCAACCAACAACAUCGAUUUUCUCAGAUCCAAACUAAAGUCUUUUUUCAUGGCAGUCACGAAGCAUUUGCUGUUGUUUCCAGUCCGUUGAACUACACCAACGAGCAUUCGCACGAAAUCUCCUCAACCGCACACCGACUCCGACCACGUCAACAAACCCAGGUGGUGGUAGCUUGUGGCCAUAGCAGGAUUCUUCUGUCGCUGUUCUAUAUGGUAUUCUGGAAUUACUAAAUUAGGAUUCAUUGCAAGAGUUUUGAUUCUUUGAUAGAUUGGAAAUGGGCUCUGAUAAGCACACCCUGCAGGUCUUCUUGAUACUCUCAAAAUGGAGAGGGUCAGAACUAUAUUUACCCACACUUAUCCUUACCCUCAUGAGCAUUCACGCCAUGCUGUAAUUGUUGUUGCAGUGGGUUGCCUUUUUUUUCAUCUCAUCUGACAAUAUACAUACUCUAGUAGAAAAAUUAGACAACAAUGUUAAACGGUGAUCUAUGUAUGGCUGUUUGUUUGGGUUCCUUUUAUUUAUUUUCAUUGCCAUUUGUAGGCAAGACUAUCAAGCUGAGUUAUUCAAAUUUCAGUCGAUGGUACAUAGCCUGGAUUUUAGUGGCUGCAAUGUACCAUUUUUCUAAUUUUCGGUCAAUGGGGGUGGAUAUGAGGAUGAAUCUAUCUUUGUUUUUGACAAUAUAUAUCUCAUCCGUUGUGUUUCUUAUUGUUUUCCACAUUCUUUUUUAUGGCCUCUGGUAUAUUGGUUUGGUUUCACGUGUGGCUAGAAAGAGACCAGAGAUCUUGGCCAUUCUUCAAAAUUGUGUUGUACUUAGUGUAGCAUGCUGUGUAUUUUAUAGGCAUUGUGGAAACCGUGCCAUGUUAAGAGAAAAAACGCUUGAGCACCAAAAAGUUCAACCUGGUUUCCUUUCUGGAAGAAAGAAGACAGAAACACAUGGCUUACUCUUGGGAUUUCUCACAGUGAGUUUUUGAGCAAUACCAACUCAAUUUUCAAUAAUUUCAAACCUUUGUACAUUAGUCAUUUUUAAUUUAAUUUCAAACGUAUUUCUUUAUUAAAGUUGGAAGAAAAAGAUUACCUGGAUGGAAUAUCCAGUUAUAAUCCCGACUAUAGGGCUCAAGCUGUAAGAGCUUGUAAGCCAUAACUGUUCGUCUUCUCUCCAAAACGCCUGUAAAUAUCUCAAACCAUCUUCUUAAUAAAAUUUGAAGAAAAAGAUUAUCCUGGAUGGAAUAUCCAGUUAUAAUCCUGAAUAUUAGGCUCAAGUUGUAAGAGCUUGUAAGCUAUAAAUAUUCGUCUUCCCUCCAAAACAUUCGUAAAUAUUCGAACCAUUUUCAUAGCAAUAUUGGAAAGAAACAGACUGCCUGGGUGGAAUGUCCAAACGUAGUUCCGAGUGUUAGACCCAAGUUGUAAGAGCUUGCAAGUAACAAGUACUCGUCUUUCAAACUUCAAAAUACUUAAUUCCUACCUUAACACUUUUUCAAUAAAGAUGGAAAUGGAACAUGGUGUAUAUCGUGCACUCCUGAGAUUAAGAUUCGAGGCGGAUGCCUUGCCUAUCAUAGAUCUCGCCAUCGUUUAAAAUUGUCAAUGCGGUUUCUUCAAACCCUUUCUCAAUCAAAUUCAAAACACUUAAUCUUUAUUAAACACUUUUGCCAAUAAAGAUGGAAAUGGAACAUGGUGUAUACCGUGCACUCCUGAGACUAGGAUUCGAGAUGAUCAAUCAAAUUCAAAACACUUAAUCUUUAUUAAACACUUUUGCCAAUAAAGAUGGAAAUGGAACAUGGUGUAUACCGUGCACUCCUGAGACUAGGAUUCGAGAUGGAUAUCUCGCUCAUCCAAGUUCCCCUCAUCACUCAAAAUACAUCCAACCAAUCAAACUCUUUCUCGCCGUCGUGCGAUUAAUCAAAGAACCUUUUCAUAAACGAAAGAUAUAUUGUCUUAAGGUGAUGCAAAACAAUGUUUCGGCCACGAUUGUUGAGUCGAGAUAAGUGACGUUUUUCCGAAUGUUGAUUUGUAAAUCCAUUCGAUGUGUGGUAUACGUCCGCUCCUCAUCUGUUUUGGGUAAAACAAUGUUUUCUUCGAUUAAUACAAUAUAGCUUUCGCUAAAAUCGACCAACAAACAAAGAUUUUCUACCCAGAACUACAUAAGCCUUGAUUUCUCUGUUGAGAUACGUAGGAGCAGGAUUUGUAAAUCUUGUCAGGCCCACUAAUAAAAAACUUAGGUUUAGUCCUUCGUCAAAAAUCCAAAAACAUUUUCCUCUCUUUUACUCUUUCUUUCCCAUUAUAACUUUAAAAGCCUAACAUUUCAAACUAACAUUAACGCGCACAACUAACCUAAUGGUUCCCGUUGAGUAACAACGGACGUGAGGGGUGCUAAUACCUUCCCCUUGCGUAUCGACUCCCGAACCCUGAUUUGGUUGCGACGACCAACAUCAUUGUCGUUUUGUCUUGGGUUUUAUCGAUAUUUCCCCUUUCCUUUUUAGGAAUAAAUAAAGUUCGGUGGCGACUCUGUUCAGUCCAGCAUUGCGAGUGUGCGAUUUGCGCUUCGCUUAGGUCGUAUCCCCACAAUUUUCUUGAGGUACGACCGAUGGCGACUCUGCUGGGGAAUAACUCCCUAAGUGAGUCAAGCCUAGUUAGGUCGUUUGAUGCCUUUGUUUAUUUACUUGCGUGGCUUUUCUUUCUUGCUUUUGCUAUCUUUAUUGUCAUAUUGAUAUAAUCUGUUGUAUUGUUUCCAUUAUGCUUUGGUACUUGGAUACUCUGAUUGCAAACCUUGUGGGAAAGACUUUUUACCCGAGUCUCGAGUAAAAAGCUAAGAUAGGACAAGGUUGAGUAGUGCGGGUCCGCGAGAUGAAUUUCUCGUUGGGUCGGUGCGAGAACCUUACUUAGAGUAGAUCCUUGGGAGGAUGUUGUUGCUCGACAAGUAAGUUGCCGUAAGCUUCGAUAUUUUCAUAAGGAUCCAUGACUCUAAGGACCAUUUAUAGAACCUUAAUCAUGUGUCCAACUAGGAAAGAUGGUUGCGUAGUGUGGGUCUGCGAGAUGAAUUUAUCGUUGGAUCGAUGCGAGAACCUCACUUAGAGAAGAUUCUUUGGAUGGAGUUGACGCCCGGUAAGUAAGUUGCCGCAGGUAGCAAAUAGUCUGAUGGAUCCAUGACUCUAGGAACCUUUGUAACCCUAGAUCAUACCUGGUGAGAACCUAUUCUUGGAAAGUAAUCAGAUUCAUCACUACCUCAGACUUUUGAACCCGUGUAUUGAGAAAAAAAAACAAAUAUGCAUGGCUUGCAUUGCAUUCAUUUACAUUCCAUUGCAUCUGUAUCUCAUCAUAAUGCAUGUCAUUUUCCAGACAAAAUACAAAAACUCAUCCAUCCUUUGUCCAUAAUCAGCAAAGUGAUUCCUAACACGCGUUUAGAACAAAGAACCAUGUCUCAAGAGAUGAUGGACGAGCUAAGGGAAAGUCAAGAAGCAUUGAAGGAGGAACUCAAUCUUUUGAAGAGCCAAAUGGGAUGGGUCGUGCAAACCCUGCAAGCCUUAUUGAGAAAAGGGGGUCAUCCCAUACCCAUUGCUACAACAGAGGGAGCUACUACUCCACAUCCAUCUAGUGUUACCCCAAGUCAAGGGAAAUUCUAUAUGGCAACUCCUCACCUACUAGCAUAUGGACCUCCCUCAGGACGUCAUCAUCAACAUCCUCUGAAUGUUCCUCCUCAAAAUCACCGAAGUCAGGUUCGAAACAAAAAUCAGAAUCAAAACAAGGGGAACAUAGAUCACAAUGACCCAAUUCUGGUGCCAUAUAGCAAGCUCUACCCAUAGUUGAUCCAGAUUGCUUUGGUGACCCCUCGAGCUCUCACACCUACGUCACCAUACCUACCAUGGUACAAUCCAAAUGCAACAUGUGAAUUCCAUAAAGGAGCAUUGGGACAUGACCUAGAUUCUUGCUUAGCACUAAAAGCCUUGCUACAAGAACUGAUUAACAAAAAGCUUAGUCUUUGAAGAAGAUCACCUAAAGGUCAAGUGUGGAUACCAUACUGGAACAAUGGGGCACUCCAUCAAGGAAUGCAAGAUAUUUAAGCUCAAGUUGCAAAGAUUGAUUUACAUAAGGUCACCAACAUUCAAGGAGGAAGGCUCGGGUACAUAUAUCUUGAUUUCUGGGCCAGUUAAUGUGAAAGGGAAAGGACCCCUGAAACCCCUCAAGGUUUUGUACCACAAGGAAGAGG